rnacentral:lncRNA from 1 species
CCUCCCUCGCUGAGGCCGAGGGCUGAGCGGAAGCCUUUGCCGGGGGCGAUGACGGCCUUGUCGAGGCCGGUGGGCUGCUCGUCGACGAACCUGCCGCGGUCUCCGAGCGCGCCGAUGGCGCCGAGGAGGGUAAAGAGGAUGAAGAAGAGGAGGAGGGGCUCCGCCUCGUAGAUCGGGAUGCCGGUCUCAAGGUUCAGCUGGGACAGGAUGCCCUUGCCGGUGAUGGCCUCUCCCAAGAUCGACGCCUGCAGACAUCAACAUUUAAAACAGUUAUCAUCAGGCUAAUCAAAAGGACGGCGCUCAGAAGUUCAUCUUAGUUCUUGACCAUUUCCUUUGUAAGAAAAGUAUGCUUUUGCUUCACUAGUAGUGCAAUGUACACUGCCGUCUACUCCCUCCGCACCUAAUUAUAUGUCUUUUAAGAUAUUUCACUAGAUGUCUACAUACGAAGCAAAAUGAAUGAAUCUACACUCUAAAGUAUGUCUAUAUACAUCCGUAUGUAGUCCAUUAGUUGAACCUAGAAAAAGACUUAUAUUUAGGAAUGGAGGGAGUAUUAUAUUUAGGAACGGAGGGAAUAAAACAUAAUUUCGAUGCAGCAUAGCAAAAUACUCCCUCCGUUCCUAAAUAUAAGUCUUUUAAGCGAUUUCAUUAAGGGACUACAUACAAAGCAAAAUGAAUGAAUCUAUCCUCUAAAGUAUGUCUAUAUACAUCCGUAUGUAGUCCUCUAGUGGAAUCUUUACAAAGACUUAUAUUAUGGAACGGAGGGAGUACUAAUUUAAUAUUGACUAUUCUGAUGUUUAGUGAGUCUCAGUCCUAUUCUAAACCCGUUUGAUCAGCACCAACCUCUUCUCAGCCCUAUCUCAUUCUAGAGUAGUAGUAUAAUCUAUAGACUAAAUUUGCGGUACUAUUUUGUUUUAUGAAAAUUUGGGACAAAAACUGAAAUUUUAGAAACAAGUUAAAUAAUUACAAAACAUAUUAUAAGUUAUGUAUAACUUUCUUUGAACUAUUGAACACUUUUGAUUUGAAAUAUUUGGGUAGUUUAAAUGCUACACUAUUAUAGCAAAUCCACAUAUAUUUAUUACUACCUCCGUAACAAAAUGUAGGACAUUUUUUAUGCCCUGUGCAAAACCAAAACAUGAUAUACUGAGGUAGGUUAUAGUAGUCUACGCCGUUAUAGUAUCCUAGAAAAACACCAUUUUCAUUGAUACUCCCCCUGUCCCAAAAUAGCUGUCUUAACUUUGUACUAGCUCUAGUAUAAAUUUGUACUAAGUUUAAGACACUUAUUUUGGGACGGAGGGAGUAUUAAUGAAAAUGGUGUUUUCUGAUCUUUUUAAGCAUUUGAAUAAGCUUUUAACAUCAUUUCAUAGUAUAUAUGUGCGUAGAUUUCCCCCUCGGUCAGUUUCUAAUUUAUCUUUAACUAUUUUUCUGUUUGAACUGGAUAGUACGAGCUCAUCAUCAACUUACCACGUACGGGGACAUAUAUACAUGUCAUCCUGUGGCAACGCAAACCAGAUUGCUAUAACUUAAUAUGUUGAGCAGCUAGUUAAUUAUGUUCUUAUUCUACCCUUGGAAUUGCCUUGGAUUGGUCCACAUGCACAUAUAUAAAAGACGUUGAUGCAUGGUAAUUAAAUUACGGCGCAGGGGUACUCACGGCGAAGCCAAUCAUGGCAACACGGCCGACGAAGAGCUCGUUCUCCUUGGUGAAACCGAUCCCGCCGGACGUGCCGAAGAUGCCGUCCUCCGUCUUGGGCUUGGGCGCAACGACCUAUACAUAUAUAAUCAAAACACAACGCCGUCAGACAACUACAAGGAGAGGAAGACAUCACCAGACCUGCAUUGGUGGCAAUGAACAUGUAAGGCCCAGGCGCGAGCUGACCUUCUUGGCCGGCGCGGCCUUGGUCUUGGACUUGCCGAACAGGGCCAUGGUCCGGACGGAGAGGGACGGCAUGUGCUUGUAGUAGGCCGCCGAGGAGGAGGAGAGCGCGAGCCGCGAGAAGGGCGUGGACGCCGACGACGGCCUGGCCGCCUGCAGCAGGCUCCUGCCGGAGGCCACGCCGUUGACGCCGGACAUGAGCAUCGACUGUGCCAUGGCCGCCUGCUAGACUCCCACUCGCGACGAUAUCGCUUCGCGCUUCGUCUGUGGCUGUGGCUGUGGCUGUGGCUGUGAGGGUUCUAUAGCCUGGGGGACUCUGCUCUGCGGCCGCGCGGCCACGUUUUAUGAGAUCGCGCGGGGUGUUCCCGGGCGUACGUGUGGCGCUGCGGGGGCGCGCGAUUGGCGAGCGGCGUGGGCGAGGAUAGGGUGCGCGAAGGGCGCCCGAGAGACCNNNNNNNNNNNNNNNNNNNNNNNNNNNNNNNNNNNNNNNNNNNNNNNNNNNNNNNNNNNNNNNNNNNNNNNNNNNNNNNNNNNNNNNNNNNNNNNNNNNNGUUUAUCCUCUUGUUACGACGAACUUCACUCCGAAACAGAAUUGAACUUUUUCAAUAUUUCAAACUUGUGAUUCAUUAAGUAAAUACUCUUGUAUCCACUCAAAUCGUCAUUGAAGUAAGAACAUAAUGAUAUCCACUGCGUGCCUCAGCACCCAUUGGACUGCAUACAUCAAAAUGUAUCACUUCCAACAAGUUACUAUCUUGUUUCAUCACAAUGAAAACAAGGCCUUGCUCAUGUGGUAUGAUUUGCAUGUCACUAGUGAUUCAAAAUCAGGUGAGUAUAAAGAUCCAUCAUCAUGGAGCCUCUUCAUGCAAUUUAUACCAACAUGACUCAAGCGGCAGUGCCACAAGUAAGUGGUACUAUCAUCAUUACCUCGUAUCUUUUGGCACCAAUAUCAUGAACAUGUGUAACACUACGAUUGAGAUUCAAUAAACCAUUGAAGGUGAUUAUUCAAGCAAAUAGAGUAACCAUUAUUCUCUUUAAAUGAAUAAUCGUAUUGCAAUAAACACGAUCCAAUCAUGUUCAUGCUUAACGCAAGCACCAAAUAACAAUUAUUUAGGUUCAACACCAAUCCCGAUGGUAGAGGGAGCAUGCGACAUUUGAUCAUAUAAACCUUGGAAACACUUCCAACAUGUAUCGUCACCUCGCCUUUAGCUAGUCUCCAUUUAUUCCGUAGCUUUUAUUUCGAGUUACUAAUCACUUAGUAACUGAACCAGUAUCCAAUACCCUCGUGCUACUAGGAGUACUAGUAAAGUAUACAUCAAUAUCAUGUAUAUCAAAUAUACUUCUGUCGACUUAGCCAGCCUUCUUAUCCACCAAACAUCUAGGGUAGCUCCGCCUUAGUGACCGUUCCUCAUAACAGAAGCACUUAGUCUCGGGUUUGGGUUUAAUCUUGGGUCUCUUCAUNNNNNNNNNNAUCAUAUCAACCUUGGAAACACUUCCAACACGUAUCGUCACCUCGCCUUUAGCUAGUCUCCGUUUAUGCCAUAGCUUUCAUUUCGUGUUACUAAUCACUUAGCAACCAAACCGGUAUCCAAUACCCUCGUGCUACUAGGAGUACUAGUAAAGUACACAUCAACAUCAUGUAUAUCAAAUAUACUUCUUUCGACUUUUCCAGCGUUCUUAUCUACCAAGUAUCUAGAGUUGCUCCGCCUCAGUGACUGUUCCCCUCAUUACAGAAGCACUUAGUCUCGGGUUUGGGUUUAAUCUUGGGUCUCUUCAUUAGUGCAGCAACUGUUUUGCCGUUUCACGAAGUAUUCCUUCUAGCCCUUGCCUUUCUUGAAACUUAGUGGUUUUACUAACCAUCAACUAUUGAUGCUCCUUCUUGAUUUCUACUUUCGCACUGUCAAACAUCGUGAAUCGCUCAAGGAUCAUUGUAUCUAUCCUUGAUAUGUUAUAUUUCAUCACGAAGCUCUCACAACUUGGUGGCAGUGACUUUGGAGAACCANNNNNNNNNNUAUCCAACUGCUUUGGAUAUCCUAUGAAGAUGCUUUCAUCCGCUUUGGGUUCGAGCUUAUCAGAUUGAAACCUUUUUCACAUAAACAUUGCAGCCCCAAACUUUCAAGAAACGACAGCUUAGAUUUCUCUAAACCUUAGUCUAUAUUGUGUCCUCUCAACAGAAAUAUGCAAUGACCUAUUUAAAGUGAAUGCGGUUGUCUCUAAUGCAUAACCCAUAAACGAUAGUGGUAAUUCGAUAAGAGACAUCAUAAUAUGCACCAUAUCAAAUAGGGCGUGGCUAUGACGUUCAGACACAUCAUCACACUAUGGUGUUCCAGGUGGCAUGAACUGCGAAACAAUUUCCACAUUGUCUUAACUGCGUACCAAAACUCGUAACUCAGAUAUUCAUUUCUAUGAUCAUAUCGUAGACAAUUUAUCCUCUUGUUACGACGAACUUCACUCUGAAACAGAAUUGAACUUUUCAAUAUUUCAGACUUUGUGAUUCAUCAAGUAAAUACUCCUGUAUCUACUCAAAUCGUCAAUGAAGUAAGAACAUAACGAUAUCCACUGCAUGCCUUAGCACUCAUUGGACUGCACACAUCAAAAAUGUAUUAUUCCCAACAAGUUAUUCUCUUGUUUCAUGUCGCAUGUUUUGCAUGUCUCAAGUGAUUCAAAAUCAAGCAAGUCCAAACGAUCCAUCUCUCAUGGAGUUUCUUCAUGCAUUUAUACCAACAGGUAUGGUUUGCAUGUCUCAAACGUUUCAAAAAUCAGUGAGUACAAAGAUCCAUCAGUAUGGAGCUUCUACAUGCAUUUUAUACCAACAUGACUCAAGUGGCAGUGCCACAACUAAGUGGUACUAUCAUUAUUACUUUGUAUCUUUGGCACUAAUAUUAUGAACAUGUGUAACACUAUGAUCGAGAUUCAAUAAACCAUUGAGGGUAAUUAUUCAAGCAAAUAGAACAACUAUUAUUCUCUUUAAAUGAAUAAUCGUAUUGCAAUAAACAUGAUCCAAUCAUGUUCAUGCUCAACUCAAACACCAAAUAACAUUUAUUUAGGUUUUACCACCAAUCCCGAUGAUAGAGGAAGCGUGCGACGUUUGAUCACAUCAACCUUGGAAACACUUUUAACACUUAUUGUCACCUCGCCUUUAGCUAGUCUCACUUUAUACCGUAGCUUUCAUUUCGUGUUACUAAUCACUUAGCAACCGAACCGGUAUCCAAUACCCUCGCGCUACUAGGAGUACUAGUAAAGUACACAUCAACUUCAUGUUCAUCAAAUAUACUUCUUUCGACUUUGCCAGCCUUCUUAUCUACCAAGUAUAUAGAGUUGCUCCGCCUCAGUGACUGUUCCCCUCAUAACGGAAGCACUUAGUCUCGGGUUUGGGUUUAUUCUUGGGUCUCUUCAUUAGUGCAGCAACUGUUUUGCCGUUUCACGAAGUAUUCCUUCUAGCCCUUGCCUUUCUACUUUCGUAGUGUCAAACAUCGCGAAUCGCUCAAGGAUCAUUGUAUCUAUCCUUGAUAUGUUCAUCACGAAGCUCUCACAGCUUGGUGGCAGUGACUUUGGAGAACCAUCACUAUCUCAUCUGGAAGAUCAACUCCCACUUGAUUCAAGCGAUUGUCGUACUCAGACAAUCUGAGCACACGCUCAACUAUUGAGAUUUUCUCCUUUACUUUGCGAACAAAGAAUCUUGUCGGAGGUCUCAAACCUAUCAACAAGGGCACAAGCAUGAAAUCACAAUUUCAUCUCUUUAGAACAUCUCUCAUGUUCCGUGACGUCUCAAAACAUCUUCGGCGCCUUGCUUCUAAGCCAUUGAGUAUUUUGCACGGAACUAUCGCGUAGUCAUCAGAAACGUGUAUGUCAGAUGUUCACAACAUCCACAGACGACGCUCGAGGUGCAGCACACCGAGUGGUGCAUUAAGGACAUAAGCCUUCUGCGCAACAACGAGGACACUCCUCUGUUUACAGACUAAGUCCGCAAAGUUGCUACUAUCAACUUUCAACUAAAUUUUCUCUAGGAACAUAUANNNNNNNNNNACGCAAGCUACAUCGUAAUUUGCAAAGACCAUUAGACUAUGUUCAUGGCAAUUAGUUCAAUUAAUCAUAUUAUUUAAGAACUCCCACUCAAAAAGUACAUCUCUCUAGUCAUUUGAGUGGUACAUGAUCCAAAUCCACUAUCUCAAGUCCGAUCAUCACGUGAGUCGAGAAUAGUUUCAGUGGUAAGCAUCUCUAUGCUAAUCAUAUCAACUAUACGAUUCAUGCUCGACCUUUCGGUCUCAUGUGUUCCGAGGCCAUGUCUGCACAUGCUAGGCUCUUCAAGUUUAACCCGAGUGUUCCGCGUGUACAACUGUUUUGCACCCGUUGUAUGUGAACGUUGAGUCUAUCACACCCGAUCAUCACGUGGUGUCUAGAAACGACGAACUGUCGCAACGGUGCACAGUCGGGGAGAACACAAUUUNNNNNNNNNNUUGAGCACACGCUCAACGAUUGAGCUUUUCUCCUUUACUUUGUGGACAAAGAAUCUUGUCGGAGGUCUCGUACCUCUUAACAAGGGCACAAGCAUGAAAUCACAAUUUCAUCUCUUUAGAACAUUACUUAUGUUCCGUGACGUUUCAAAACGUCUUCAGCGCCUUGCUUCUAAGCCAUUAAGUAUUUUGCACGGAACUAUCGUGUAGUCAUCAGAAACGUGUAUGUCGGAUGUUCACAACAUCCACAGACGACGCUCGAGGUGCAGCAGACCGAGUGGUGCAUUAAGGACAUAAGCCUUCUGUGCAGCAACGAGGACAAUCCUCAGUUUUACGGACUCAGUCCGUAAAGUUGCUACUAUCAACUUUCAACUAAAUUUUCUCUAGGAACAUAUANNNNNNNNNNCCAGCACACCGAGUGGUGCAUUAAGGACAUAAGCCUUCUGUGCAGCAACGAGGACAAUCCUCUGCAAAGUUUUCUACUAUGAACUUUCAACUAAAUUUUCUCUAGGAACAUAUAAAAACAGUAGAGCUAUAGCGCAAGCUACAUCGUAAUUCGCAAAGACCAUUAGACUAUGUUCAUGACAAUUAGUUCAAUUAAUCAUAUUACUUAAGAACUCCCACUCAAAUAGACAUGCCUCUAGUCAUUCGAGUGGCGCAUGAUCCAAAUCCACUAACUCAAGUCCGAUCAUCACGUGAGUUGAGUAUAAUUUCAGUGAUAAGCAUCUCUAUGCUAAUCAUAUCAACUAUAUGAUUCAUGCUCAACCUUUCGGUCUCUUGUGUUCCGAGGCCAUGUCUGCACAUGCUAGGCUCGUCAAGUUUAACCCGAGUGUUCUGCGUGUGCAACUGUUUUGCACUCGUUGCAUGUGAACGUUGAGUCUAUCACACCCGAUCAUCACGUGGUGUCUCGAAACGACGAACUGUCGCAACGGUGCACAGUCGGGGAGAACACAAUUUGAGCUUGAAAUUUUAGUGAGAGAUCACCUCAUAAUGCUACCGUCGUUCUAANNNNNNNNNNAAUCAUCACGUGAGUCGAGAAUAAUUUCAGUGGUAAGCAUCUCUAUGCUAAUCAUAUCAACUAUACAGUUCAUGCUCGACCUUUUGGUCUCAUGUGUUCCGAGGCCAUGUCUGCACAUGCUAGGCUCGUCAAGCUUAACCCGAGUGUUCCGCGUGUGCAACUGUUUUGCACCCGUUGUAUGUGAAUGUUGAGUCUAUCACACCCGAUCAUCACGUGGUGUCCUGAAACGAAGAACUGUCGCAACGGUGCACAGUUGGGGAGAACACAAUUUCGUCUUGAAAUUUUAGUGAGAGAUCACCUCAUAAUGCUACCGUCGUUCUAAGCAUAAUAAGGUGCAUAAAGGAUUAAAAUCACAUGCAAUUCAUAAGUGACAUGAUAUGGCCAUCAUCAUGUGCUUCUUGAUCUCCAUCACCAAAGCACCGACACGAUCUUCUUGUCACCGGCGUCACACCAUGGUCUCCAUCAUCAUGAUCUCCAUCAACGUGUCGCCAUCAGGGUUGUCGUGCUACUCAUGCUAUUACUACUAAAGCUACAUCCUAGCAAUAUAGUAAACGCAUCUGCAAGCACAAACGUUAGUUAAAAGACAACUCUAUGGCUCCUAUCGGUUGACGUACCAUCGACGUGCAAGUCGAUAUUAACUAUUACAACAUGAUCAUCUCAUACAUCCAAUAUAUCACAUCACGUCGUUGGCCAUAUCACAUCACAAGCAUACCCUGCAAAAACAAGUUAGAUGUCCUUUAAUUGUUGUUGCAUGUUUUACGUGGUUGCCAUGGGUAUCUAGUAGGAUCUCAUCGUACUUACGCAAACACCACAACGGAGAUGUAUGAAUUGCUGUUUAACCUNNNNNNNNNNNNNNNNNNNNNNNNNNNNNNNNNNNNNNNNNNNNNNNNNNNNNNNNNNNNNNNNNNNNNNNNNNNNNNNNNNNNAUAUGAAUUGCUAUUUAACCUCAUCCAAGGACCUACUCGGUCAAAUAUGAUUCAACUAAAGUUGGAGAAACCGACACUCGCCAGUCAUCUUUGAGCAACACGGUUGCUCGUAGCGAUGAAACCAGUCUCUCGUAAGCGUACGAGUAAUGUCGGUCCGAGCCGCUUCGAUCCAACAAUACCGCAGAAUCAAGAAAACACUAAGGAGGGCAGCAAAUUGCACAUCAUCGCCCACAAAAACUUUUGUGUUCUACUCGAGAUAACAUCUACGCAUGAACCUAGCUCAUGAUGCCUCUGUUGGGGAACGUCGCAUGGGAAACAAAAAAUUUCCUACGCGCACGAAGACCUAUCAUGGNNNNNNNNNNNNNNNNNNNNNNNNNNNNNNNNNNNNNNNNNNNNNNNNNNNNNNNNNNNNNNNNNNNNNNNNNNNNNNNNNNNNNNNNNNNNNNNNNNNNCGAUCUAGAGGAAAAACUAUGGAGGUAUGUGGUCGGGCAGCCGUGAGAAAGUCGUCUCAAAUCUGCCCUAAAAGCCCCAUAUAUAUAGGAGGAGGGAGGGGGACCUUGCCUUGGGGUCCAAGGUAUCCCCAAGGGGUCGGCCGAGCCAGGGGGGAGGACUCUCCCCCCCCAAACCGAGUCCUACUUGGUUUGGUGGGAGGGAGUCCUUCCCCCUUCCCACUUCUUCCUUUUUUUUUUCUUUUCUUUGAUUUUUUCUCUCUUGGCGCAUAGGGGAUUGGUGGGCUGUCCCACCAGCCCACUAAGGGCUGGUGUGACCCCCCCAAAUGCCUAUGGGCUUCCCCGGAGUGGGUUGCCCCCCUCCGGUGAACUCCCGGAACCCAUUCGUCAUUCCCGGUACAUUCCCGGUAACUCCGAAAANNNNNNNNNNGGUGAACACCCGGAACCCAUUCGUCAUUCCCGGUACAUUCCCGGUAACUCCGAAAANNNNNNNNNNGCGCAUAGGGCCUUCUUGGGCUGUCCCACGAGCCCAACAAGGGCUGGUGCACCACCCCCAAGGCCUAUGGUCUUCCCCGGGGUGGGCUGCCCCCCCGGUGAACACCCGGAACCCAUUUGUCAUUCCCGGUAACUCCGAAAACCUUCCGGUAAUCAAAUGAGGUCAUCCNNNNNNNNNNNNNUGGAACUCCGAACAACAUUCAGUUACCAACCAUAUAACUCAAAUACGCAUAAAACAACGUCGAACCUUAAGUGUGCAAACCUUGCGGGUUCGAGAACUAUGUAGACAUGACCCGAGUGACUCCUCGGUCCAUAUCCAAUAGCGGGACCUCGAUGCCCAUAUUGGAUCCCACAUAUUCUAUGAAGAUCUUAUCGUUUGAACCUCAGUGCCAGGGAUUCAUAUAAUCCCGUAUGUCAUUCCCUUUGUCCUUCGGUAUGUUACUUGCCCGAGAUUCAAUCGUCAUCAUCCGUAUACCUAUUUCAAUCUUGUUUACCGGCAAGUCUCUUUACUCGUUCCGUAAUACAAGAUCCCGCAACUUACACUAAGUCACAUUGCUUGCANNNNNNNNNNUGUUUCCGGACCAUUCCGAAAACCCUCGUGACGUCCGUGAUCUCAUCCGGGACUCCGAACAACAUUCGGUAACCAACCAUAUACCUCAAAUACGCAUAAAGCAACGUCGAACCUUAAGUGUGCAGACCAUGCGGGUUCGAGAACUAUGUAGACAUGACCCGAGUGACUCCUCGGUCAAUAUCCAAUAGCGGGACCUGGAUGCCCAUAUUGGUUCCCACAUAUUCUACGAAGAUCUCAUCGUUUGAACCUCAGUGCCAGGGAUUCAUAUAAUCCCGUAUGUCAUUNNNNNNNNNNUCGAGAUACCUCUCCGUCACACUGAGUGACAAAUCCCAGUCUCAAUCCAUACUAACUCAACGAACACCUUCGGAGAUACCUGUAGAGCAUCUUUAUAGUCACCCAAUUACGUUGCGAUGUUUGAUACACACAAAUCAUUCCUCUGGUGUCAGUGAGUUAUAUGAUCUCAUGGUCAUAGGAACAAAUACUUGANNNNNNNNNNGGAGUGACAAAUCCCAGUCUCGAUCCAUACUAACUCAACGAACACCUUAGGAGAUACCUGUAGAGCAUCUUUAUAGUCACUCAGUUACGUUGUGACGUUUGAUACACACAAAGCAUUCCUCCGGUGUCAGUGAGUUAUAUGAUCUCAUGGUCAUAGGAACAAAUACUUGACACGCAGAAAACAGUAGCAACAAAAUGACACGAUCAACAUGCUAAGUCUAUUAGUUUGGGUCUAGUCCAUNNNNNNNNNNNNNNNNNNNNNNNNNNNNNNNNNNNNNNNNNNNNNNNNNNNNNNNNNNNNNNNNNNNNNNNNNNNNNNNNNNNNNNNNNNNNNNNNNNNNAAGCUUCGGGAAAACGGCCGAGCUCUAGCAAAGUCUACUGGCUAAAGUCAUAAGUGGAAAAAUAAACCACUGGUUUUCUGGGAUAAACCGAAGAGGUAUAGAUGAUCUAAUCUACACCAUCCACUUAAGAUCUAAUGGCUAUCAAAAGAGGACAUGGAAUAAAAGAGAGAGGAGGGAGCUACCUUGGCUGACCGUGGCUGGGCAGUGCUCCGGCGAGUCACAUCGCCGGCGAGGGGGAAGGGGGGGCUCCGGGGCGGUGAGGAAAAUGGGGAGGCGGCGGCGGCGGGGGUGCUCCUCCUCGGGGGGGAGGCGCUCGGGGGAGACGGAGGGGCUCGGGUGCUGGCUCCUGGAGGCGAGGCCGAAGGUGGUGCAGUAGCUUUGCUGCUGCUGCACCGGCGGGGUGCUGCUUCGGGCGGCGGCGGCGGGGUGGGAACGGGGUGGCGGAGUGGCAAGGGGGCGGCGGUGGAGGGGGCCGAAGGUGGGGUCAUGGAGGGGUGCAGCGACGGGGUGGGGUGACGGGGCGCUCCUGCGGGUGGUCGAGGUGGGCAGCAGAAGCUCGCUGCCGGCGAGGGGUGGGAAGGGAGCUCGGGGCGGCGGUUUGAGGUGCUUAGGGUGGGAACGGGGUCGGUGGAGGGGUGAGCUUUAUAUAGGCCAGGAGGGGAGGGAGCUAAGGAAGGAGAGGGAGGGCGCUGGGGAAGAGAAUCCCGAGGUCUCGGGCGGCUCGGUUUUGGCUGGGAGAAGAAGGAAGGGACGAGGGAGUAGGAGGAGAGGUGCCGACGUGGGGAGAGGAGGCUUCGGUUGGGGGGGUCCACGGCAGAGAGAAGGGAGGCAGGGAGGAGGGAGCUGUAGGGAAAGACUCGCUGGUUCCCUGUCGUCUCGGUCUCUGUUACGGGAGCAGCAGAAGGAAAGAGACGAGGGAGGAAGGAGACCGACGUGGAGAGAGGGGCUCGGCCAGGGUGGGUCCCUUGGGCAGAGAGAGGGGGAGGAGAGGGCUUGGGGUCGGUCCCGAUUUCAAGGGAUAUGAGAUCCCUGGUAGUGGGGAGAUGGCCCAGGCUAAGAAAAAAAACGCUCGGGGCGAGAUGUUAAGAAAAAAAAAAUAACCUUCCUAAUCUCUAAGUUUUUCCAAAACAGAAAAUAAAAAUGACAAAAAAGAAAGUAAAUCAAAAUAUUAAUAUAUGGUAUAAUAUAUCAAAAAAAUCAAAAAAAGAAUCUCUACCCGAAUAACAUUUUUUUAAAGCCAAAAUAAAAACUUUUAAAAAAUGUUUUUUUUCCAGAAAUUCCCAAUUUGCUUUNNNNNNNNNNNNNNNNNNNNNNNNNNNNNNNNNNNNNNNNNNNNNNNNNNNNNNNNNNNNNNNNNNNNNNNNNNNNNNNNNNNNNNNNNNNNNNNNNNNNUGUUGGUGUGUGUGUGUGUGGGGGGGGGGGGGGGUAUGGUUACAACUACUGAUCCACAUAAGUGAGAUAUCAGAGACCUGUAAGAAGGGUGACCCGACCACCAGGAGGUUGGCGUUAAUAGUAACAAUGUUUUGGCCAUGUGUUUAUUUUUAAGGUACAUAGAACAAGUUGUGGGAAAUCCACUACUGCUAAUCAUGCUGAAGCUGGAUAAAUUUGUUAUCCAAUGGUUAUCGCAAUGCAUCUCCUCUCAUAUGGUGUAUGCUGAAAGUGCAUAAUAUAUACUUUUGAAGUUUUAUGAAGAAGAGAAAAAACACAAAACAAACGCUCAAACACCAAGUCAGUCUUAAUAGCAGCUCAACGAGACAAAAAUAUCGUACCACGCAAUGAGCCUUUGGAUAAAAUUAAUGGAAUAAAAGGUAUCCUUCAGAUAUUCAUCACUCCAUUUAGCUGUCAAGUGGCAAACAGAAGCAAGUCCGAAAAGCGAAAGGAAAUUUAACAAGAACAAUCAAAUAAAGGGAAGUACUUUGUCUGUAAGCAGAAAGACAGAAAUAUAACCAGCAAAGCAUCUCNNNNNNNNNNNNNNNNNNNNNNNNNNNNNNNNNNNNNNNNNNNNNNNNNNNNNNNNNNNNNNNNNNNNNNNNNNNNNNNNNNNNNNNNNNNNNNNNNNNNUCUCAAUACCUCUAAUGAUUCUUGCUAGUUCUUGAGGGAAAAGAGAAAGGAGAUCUAGAUCCACAUUCCCACCAAUCACUUUCUCCCCUUUGUGAGGGGAACCCCUUGGAUUUAGAUCGUGGAGUUCUUCAUGUUCUUCUUCAUUCUUCAUCUUACUUUCUUCCAUAGAAUUAUUUCUUGUGGAUGGAUUUGGGAGAGAAGGAACUGGGCACACCAUGUGCCCUUUCCAUUGCAUUUGGUGCAUAGGUUUGAGUUCUCCACGGUGAUACAUGGAAGUGAAGUUUGAGAAGCUUAUUACUCUUGGGUGCUUGGUACCCUAAUACACUACAAGGAGCAGAUACUUUGCCGUCUGCCAUGGUGGACGGUAAAGGGGGCCACCCUGGACGGCAAAUGCCUUUGUCGUCCAUCAGCAUACGACAAACUGGACGGCAAACAAAAAUCCGGUGAAGGGCUUCUUUGCCGUCUGCAUUGGGACAUCUGACGACAAAGGAUCUUUGCCGUGAGGAGGUGGACGGCAAAGAAUAUGGGAUGACACAUCUGCGGGCACCUCCGUCAAGUGCUAACGGCAGCCUGCUGGGCCCACAAAUAGUUUGUCGUCUGCCCUUUGCCCCUUUGUCGUCUGCCGUGCUGGUGGGCUGACGGCGAAGGUACCACCAAAGCCCCUCUCAUUUUCCCCUUUGCCGCCCGCCCUUUGACCCUUUGCCGUCCGCUGUGCUGGUGGGCUUACGGCAAAGGUACCACCAAAGCCCCUCUCAUUUACCCCUUUGUCGUCUGCCCUUUGACCCUUUACCGUCCGCCCACCAGCAUGGUAGACGGCAAAGGGGGCACCCAGUUUGAUUCAACAAUCCAGUUUGGGCCCUUUGCCGUCUGCUGUAGCUCCUUUGCCGUCGGUGGGCACACGGCAAAGGCUCCAAACUGCCAUUGUUUAUUUUAUUUUUAAUAAUAUCCAGCAAUUUUCACACAAAUCAAGAAUAUAUUUCACACAAACUGCCCCAAAUGACAUAAUAUAUUUCACACAAAGGCUCCAAAUGACAUAAUAUAUUUCACACAAACUACCCAUACUCAUAACCAUAUUAAAAUACGUUUCAUCCAUAAUACAUACAUAUUAUGCAAGUUUCAUCCGUACCAAACCAUAUAUUACACCAGUUUCAUCCAUACAUACACAGUUUCAUGUCCAUUUACUACAAUAGUUUCGAUCCAAGCUUCCGUGAAGCCAUUUUAGAAGAAACCAUAUUGAAGCACUCCAUUAAUAUAAUCCAAGCUUCCAUGAAUUGAAUGUAAUCUGCAAAAUGGGAAAUAAGUAAGUUAUAAGAAGAAGACUAGAUGAAGAGGAGAAGAAAUAAGUAAGUUUCAUAUCCAUUUAGCUCCAAAAAGACAUACUUAGCUAAUUUAGCUCCAAGAAGAGGAGAAGAGGAGAAAUGAAAAGAAGGNNNNNNNNNNNNNNNNNNNNNNNNNNNNNNNNNNNNNNNNNNNNNNNNNNNNNNNNNNNNNNNNNNNNNNNNNNNNNNNNNNNNNNNNNNNNNNNNNNNNNNNNNNNNNNNNNNNNNNNNNNNNNNNNNNNNNNNNNNNNNNNNNNNCUUCUUCUUCUUCUUCUUGCUUCUUUUCAUUUCUCCUCUUCUUGGAGCGAAAUUAUCUAAGUAUGUCUUUUUGGAGCUAAAUGGGCUAAUUAUGUCAUUUUAGAGGAAAACAAGCUAAGUAUAUAAUAUUCAUGAGCUAACCAAGGUUCUUAUGCCAUUAUGAGCUUAUUAUGUCAUUUUGGAGCUAAAUUGGUCAUUUUAAUGAGCUAACCAAGGUUCUUAUGAUGUUUUUACCUAACUAAGCUAAUUAUGUCAUUUUGGAGGAUAAUUAGCUAAGUAUGUCUAUGUUGGGGAAAAUAAGCUACGUAGAAGAAGAAAGAGAAGAAGCAAGAAGAGAGGAAGAAGGAGAAGAAAAAGAANNNNNNNNNNNNNNNNNNNNNNNNNNNNNNNNNNNNNNNNNNNNNNNNNNNNNNNNNNNNNNNNNNNNNNNNNNNNNNNNNNNNNNNNNNNNNNNNNNNNNNNNNNNNNNNNNNNNNNNNNNNNNNNNNNNNNNNNNNNNNNNNNNNNNNNNNNNNNNNNNNNCUUCCUUCUUUUCAUUUUCCCUAUUUCUUCUCCUCUUGUCCUCUUCUUCGAGCUAAAUUAGCUAAUUAUGCCUUUUUGGAGCUAAUUAUGUCAUUUUGGAGGAUAAUUAGGUAAGUAUAGGUCAUUUUUUAUUAUAUAGGCCAUUUUUGAGCUAACUAAGCUAAUUAUGUCAUUUAGGUGGAAGCCAAGCUAAGUAUAGGCCAUUUCUAGAACUAACUUGGGUAAAAUAUGUCAUUUUGGAGACAACUAUGAUUAUUAAGGCAUUUUGGAGCUAAAUUGGCUAAUUAUGUCAUUUAGGAGGAGGAGGAGGNNNNNNNNNNNNNNNNNNNNNNNNNNNNNNNNNNNNNNNGAGGAGGAGGAUAAGGAGAAGGAGACCAUUAUGGAGCUAACUUGGGUUAAAUAUGUCAUUUUGGAGCUAAGUAUGCUUAAUAAACCAUAUUGGACCAUUAUGCGGUUGUUAAGUAAAACGCUACAAAUAACAUACCAUUAUCGUCAUCACGGUGGUGAAUCACGGCGGCUCUGGCUUGUUUCACCUCGAGAAGGCUGCCCUGGAGAAGGCUCCACUGUAGAAGGGUCGUGCCAUGCGUUUGGGGAGAUAUUCUGCACCAAACAUCGUUUGCAAUGUGUCGUUAGCAUGAUGACACUCUUAAGAUCACUGCAUUGAAAUGAAACUCACCGUCCCCGCCAUGUUAAUGACUGGCAUCGCCGGAGGGACUUGCCCCGUCUUCUCGCACAUAGACUGUAUAUUUGGUUUCGACAAGUCAAACUUUUUAGUUAUUAAUGAAACGGACAUUAAAAUGCAAGAUUUGAAAUAAUAUGAAGAAGAAACCUACCACGAAGAGCUCGUAUAUGGCCCUGUUAGACGCAUCAUUUCGUGCCCUCUCCGCCUCCACCAAUGCAGUCGUCCUCUCCUCCAGCUCCUUCAUCUCCUUAUCCUUCUCCGCCAAAAACGCCUGCAUUGCCUCUCUCUUUUUUAGAAUAGCAACCUGCAACACAACUCAUUGUUAGCAUUGUAAUCAUACUGGUUCCAACGCACAACAUAAUGCGGAAAGAUAGUUGAGUCCAUUAAACUAAUCUCGAUGGCGAGCUCGACUGGCCGUGGGCGAGGUGUUAUCUCAGGACACGAGCUCGUUUGGCGUGCCUUUAUCUGCCGGAGAUAGAAAACUUGUGUCGCCUAUUGAGCCGUAAUAUAGACAUCGGGAACAUCUAAGUGGGUGUUUUGGUUGAUUUCGACUAGUCCUAUAUGUUCAUGAGUCCUUCUAGUCUCCCUCGGCUCAAACGAAUAACAUUUGAAGACUACGACGGUCGGUGGGUUUUCACCAUAGAAUAGAAGUUCAUAAAUUGCUUCAACUCUUCCAUAAUACUCGGUGCCUCCUUCGUCGAUAGCAGAGAUAGAACAAUUUGUAGUCUUUAGGUCGGACAUAGAUAGCUCUUUGCCAAAGGUACGAAAGUGAUACCCGUUGAUGUUGUAUUUGUCAAAUGAACGGACCUUAUAGUCAAAACCAUUAGCGACUUGUCUCAACUCGGCGUCCAUAGACUCUGCAUCCGCCUACAAGUUUAAUACGAAGGAAUGGAUGCAUUAGCCGCAAAUUAGACCAAGAAAUCAAAUGGGCCAUUAGUGGUAAUUAAUUACCCUUUGUUUGAACCAAGAGAUGAAACCGGGAUAGUCGCCUCCAUGCUUCGCGAGAAGCUCAUACUCUUCGACGGAAUCCUUUUCGAUGACCGCUCCAUCCGAGAAUUCGGCGACGUAUCGACUAUAUCAGAUAUCCGGGAAUAAGAGUAGUUGAAAGGAAUUAGAAGUUGCGGAACAAUAAUUUACCGAGAACUUACUCGAUGUACGGCCGCACUUCUGUUAGGUUGGUGAAGAUAUACAAUGAAAUGGUCUGCCAUUCUUCGACAUCCAACAUUUCCCUUUCGAAGCACCGGAUGGUGCGAGCUUCCCUUUGAAUAGGCUGAGGUUGGAUCGACCUUUUUUUGGAUCGUCAUCAUUGUACCGAGGCUUCGGGUUAUGCAAAUGAUGAUUUUUGGCUUCGUAGUGUGCUAUCACGAAGUUUGCCGCCUCCUCAGUAAUUAAUGCCUCGGCCAUCGAUGCUUUAAUUCUACGUUUAUUUUUACACUUAGCUCGAAGCGUCUUCUGCAUCCUCUCAGUUGAGUAGCACCACCGAUUGCCCCCCCCCCCAAUCUUGCCUCGGUCGGGAGAUGCAAAAUCAAAUGCUGCAUUGGAUUAAAGAAGCCCGAUGGAAAGAUCUUUUCUAAUUUGCAGAUCAACUCCGCCGCCAACUCUUCCAUUUCAUCUAGCACGCCAGGCGAUAGUUCUUUCGCACAAAGAGAACAGAAGAAAUAGCUCAGCUCUGCCAGCACUCGCCAUUCAUCCUCAGGGAUAAGGCCACGCAACAUCACCGGCAUUACCCGCUCAAUCCAUAUCUGCCAAUCAUGACUCUUGAGACCAAAUAUUUUCAUUUCUCAAGACUCGCUCCCCUCUUUAGAUUCGCAACAUACCCAUCGGGGAACAUCAACCGCAUUUUCACCCACAAUAGCAUUUCCCUCAUAGCUGGCCUUUCAAGAUUGAACCAUGCCUUUGGCUUCUCUAUGCUUUCCUUUCCUUUCCGUUGUCGCAAGUUUUGUAACGGUCUAUCACAUAGAGCCUCCAGGUCGAUUCUAGCCUUAGGAUUAUCUUUUGACUUCCCCUCUAUGCCGAACAAUGUACCAAAAAUGGCCUUCGCAAUAUUCUUUUCCGUGUGCAUCACGUUGAUGUUGUGUGGGCAAAGGAGGUCUUUGAAGUAAGGCAGAUCCCAUAAGCAUGACUUGUGAGUCCACGCUUGUUCCGUAUUAUACCCUUUGAAGUAUCCUCGAUGCAAAGGAUCAGGCUCGAGAGCGUUUAACUGAUCAAGGGUCUGUUGGCCUAUCAAUGCAGCUGGUGCAGUGUUUUUGACAACUCUACCUUUGAUGAAAUUCUUCUUGUCUUUUUUGAACUUAUGGUCAGGAUCGAGGAAUUGUCUAUGCAUGUCGAAGCAAGAAAACUUAUGACCAGCGUGCAGCCAACGGAACUGAAGAGCUGCCUUGCAUGUGGUGCACGGGAACCUUCCAUGCACACACCAGCCAACGAAUAGCGCAAACGCCAGAUAAUCAUGCGUCGAGUACAUGUACCACACAUGCAUUUUGAUAUUUGUUUUGGUAGCGGCGUCGUAGGUCUUGAUCCCAUUAUCCCAGGCUUCUUGCAACUCAUCCUUAAGCGGCUGCAUGUACACAUUCAUAUUCUUCCCCGGAUAGUUGGGCCCUGGAAUUAUUAACGUCACAAAAAUGUUCUUUCUUUUCAUAAUCUCUUCGGAUGGGAAAUCGAGUGGAAUGACAAAUACAUGCCAACAACUGUAUUGUGCUGCCGUCAUACCAUACACACUGAACCCAUCCAUGCUGAUGGUAACUCUAGGAUGCCUUGGAUCUUCCGAUUUAUCCUUAUGUAAUGCAUCGAAGUGCCUCCACGCAAAACCAUCUGAAGUGUGUACAAGCAUCUUGUUCCCAUCCGCAUCUAGUUCGGUUCUUUUGCCCAAUUUGUGCCAUGUUAUCUGUCUGGCCGUCUCUUCGACCAUGAAAAGACGUUGAAGUCUUGGCACGAUUGGCAUGAAAAGAACACUAAUGGGGAUUUUGGUCUAAUUCUUCUCACCCAUACCGUUGUCUACCACAAUAUACCUAGAAGAAUUGCAAAUGGGGCAAUAGUUCAAGGCCGCAUACUCAAGCCUAAAUAAGGCACAUCCAUUCUCACAGGCAUGUAUCUUCUCAUAGGGCAUCUUAAGUACACGGAGGAUUUUCUCUGACUGGUACAGUUUUGCAGGCAGUACAUGGCCUUUGGGUAGAAAGCGUCCAAAUAUCGUCAUCAUCGCGUCGUAGCAUUCUCUGCCUAGGUUGAAUUGAGCCUUCAGAGCCAUUACUUGCGCGAUGGCAUCCAGCUGACAAAGCUCAAUCUGCUCGUGGAGAGGACGUUUUGAAGACUCCAACAUUUCAUAGAAAGCCUUUGCAGAUUCCUCCAUCUCAUCGUACGAAUCCCGAGCAUCAUCGAAGUCUUGCACCAUGUCUUCGAUCCCGGUACCAUGCUCGUCAGUGCGACGACGAAUCACCUCAGCUCUGGCACGUUGGUCAGACUCACUAUGAAAAGUCCACACCGUAUAAUUAGGCGUAAAACCCCACUUCUGCAAGUGUUUACCCAUUUCAAACUCUGUCUGCUUUUUCCAGUUGUCACAGUUGGGACAGGGGCACCAUGUUUUUUGCUGGCUAUUUGCAAAUACGGCUCUCACAAACCCCCUGGUUUUUGUUAACCAUUCACUGGUCAUGUCUUUCUGACUAGGGUGACCAGUGUACAUCCAAGCAUGAUCACUCAUGUUGCCUAGCUACCUAUGGGCGCACAAGAAAUAAAUAUAUAAUUCAUCAUCUAUAUUCAUCCACUAAUCAAGUUUGUCAGUUUUAUUACGUCCAUGCAACCUACACGCUAAUAGGUAAAGAUAGGUCCUAAUCCCACCCGAGUAUGUGUAGAUUGGGUUCGUUUUCCCAUGCUCUGCUCCAGAUGCGACGCGGAAUUUCGGCAGCACCUCCCCGCUGUUCUCCUGAUACACGUCUCGGCAAUAAGCAGAGAGGAUGUGUACCCGAAGAACAACAGGGAGGCACUAACGAAAUUCCGCAUCGGAUCCAGAGCACGGCAUAUGGGAAAACAAACCCAAUCUACACAUACUCGGGCUGUCCCUGGAUAACGUUGGACAAUUCGAAAUGAUGGCGGUUAUAAAUAUGCAAAGACAUGCAUAUUUAUGGAUGUCGCCCUUUCGAACGGGAGACACAUACUGGUCACGCAUACUCAUGAUUAAAGAAACCUAUAGCUAGCAAGUUUCAUCGGCACGAAGACCGGAACAUAGCAAAUUAAGGGGGUAGGAGGAGAAGUCAUUUGUGCUCACCAACAAAUGCAGGGGCAGAGCUCGUCCAACGCACGUGGAGGUCGUCGAACAACUGCAAAUUGAAAUUCACCCUAUCAACACAAAUAUGAUGUUUUUAUAAUUAACAUAAUCAGAAAAUAUGUGACCUAACUCAUAAUUUACAAAACUAUGAUCCCGUUAGCCUCGGGGGUUAAUGGCGUCGGUAGUCGGGUGUCGGUGUCGUCGGGGUCGAGGGUCACUGGCGUCGGGGGUCGGGGGUCUUUUCGGUCAACAAGAGGCCAAAGAGGUGUCGGGGGUCGGGGGUUGGGGGUCGUGGCGUNNNNNNNNNNNNNNNNNNNNNNNNNNNNNNNNNNNNNNNNNNNNNNNNNNNNNNNNNNNNNNNNNNNNNNNNNNNNNNNNNNNNNNNNNNNNNNNNNNNNNNNNNNNNNNNNNNNNNNNNNNNNNNNNNNNNNNNNNNNNNNNNNNNNNNNNNNNNNNNNNNNNNNNNNNNNNNNNNNNNNNNNNNNNNNNNNNNNNNNNNNNNNNNNNNNNNNNNNNNNNNNNNNNNNNNNNNNNNNNNNNNNNNNNNNNNNNNNNNNNNNNNNNNNNNNNNNNNNNNNNNNNNNNNNNNNNNNNNNNNNNNNNNNNNNNNNNNNNNNNNNNNNNNNNNNNNNNNNNNNNNNNNNNNNNNNNNNNNNNNNNNNNNNNNNNNNNNNNNNNNNNNNNNNNNNNNNNNNNNNNNNNNNNNNNNNNNNNNNNNNNNNGGUGGCCGGAGGGAGCAGGUGGGAGGGGGCGGUGGCCGGAGGGAGCAGGUGGGAGGGGGCGGCGACCGAGAGGGGGGAGGGCGGCGGCCAGAGGGAGCAGGUGGGAGGGGGCGGCGACCGAGAGGGGGGAGGGCGACGGUCGGAGGGAGCAGGUGGGAGGGGGCUGAUACGUCUCCAACGUAUCUGUAAUUUUUUAUGGUUCCAGGCUAUUAUGUUAUCAACUUUGGAUGUUUUAUAUGCAUGAAUAUGCUAUUUUAUAUCAUUUUUGGGACUAACCUAUUAACACAGUGCCUAGUGCCAGUUUCUGUUUUUCCCGUGUUUUUGACCUUUUUUAGAAAAGAAUAUUAAACGGAGUCCAAACGGAAUAAAACCUGCGGGAUGACUUUUUUCCAUAACAGAAGAUACGCACAUGACUUGAGAACCAAGGCAGGAGACCUCGUGGGAGGUCACAAGCCCCCUAGGCGCGCCCUAGGGGGGGGGCGCGCGCCGGGCAGGCUUGUGGGCCCCACGUGCCUCCUUUGCCCUACGUCUUUCGCCUAUAAAUUAUCUAAAAUCCCGAAACCAAAGAAGAGAGCCACAAAAAUACUUUUCCGCGGCCGCAAGCUUCUGUCUCCGCAAGAUCCCAUCUAGGACCGUUCUGGUGCCCUGCCGAAGGGGGAUUCGGACACAGAGGGCUUCUUCAUCAACACCAUUGCCUCUCCGAUGAUGCGUGAGUAGUUCACCACAGACCUUCGGGUCCAUAGCUAGUAGCUAGAUGGCUUCUUCUCUCUCUUGGAUCUUCAAUACAAAGUUCUCCAUGAUCUUCAUGGAGAUCUAUCCGAUGUAACUUUCUUUUGCGGUGUGUUUGUCGAGAUCCGAUGAAUUGUGGAUUUAUGAUCAGAUUAUCUAUGAAUAUUAUUUGAGUCUCCUCUGAUCUCUUAUAUGCAUGAUUUCGUAUCCUCUUAAUUCUCUUCGUGUUAUGGGUUUCGUUUGGCCCACUUGAUCUAUAAUUCUUGCAAUGGGAGAAGUGCUUGGUUUUUGGUUCAUACCAUGCGGUGUCCUCACCCAGUGACAGAAAGGGUAGCGAAGGCACGCAUCGUGUUGUUGCCAAGGGUAAAAAGAUGGGGUUUAUAUCAUAUUGCAUGAAUUUAUCCUUCUACAUCAUGUCAUCUUGCUUAAGGCGUUACUCCGUUUGUUAUGAACUUAGUACACUAGAUGCAUGCUGGAUAGCAGUCGAUGUGUGGAGUAAUAGUAGUAGAUGCAGAUACCAAAAAUACCAAAAUACUUUGUUGCACUUUCCAUCUGCAGAUCUUACCUUGCAAGUAAUCGUGAAGGGAUUGACAACCCCUUUAUAGCGUUGGGUGCAAGUUUGUUUGUUUUUUGCGCAGGUACAUUGGUGCCUCAUCUUGAUACUCCUACUGGAUUGAUACCUUGGUUCUCAAAAUGAGGGAAAUACUUAUUGCUACUUUGCUGCAUCACCCUUUCCUCUUCAAGGUAAAAACCAACGCAAGCUCAAGAGGUAGCAAGAAGGAUUUAUGGCGCCGUUGCCGGGGAGUAUUCAAGUGAAGCAUAUCUACCAAGUACCUAUCGCAAACUCAUCUCUUGGAUUUACAUUAUUUGCCUUUUGCCUCUCGUUUUCCUCUCCCCCACUUCUAAAACGAUUUUCCGAAAAUACCAAAAAUAUUUUUGUAGCGACCCGACUCAAAACGGGUCAAGCCUCUGUGUUUUUGUGCCAUCCCUGGAUCAGUAUGCUGGCACACACAGUACAUCAAUGUAUAUAUCAAAGUGCAAUCACAUGUAAAUAGCGUAAAACUGAUAUAUACCUUAAAUAUUUCAGCGGAAGCAGUCAAGGGAGUGGAGUCCCAAUAAACACCAAUGACAAGUUGAGUGUAGACCGUAACCCUGAAUCGUACUCUUACUCGUCGAAGAAAAAUAUCUGCAACAUAAGACGUUGCAGCCGUGUAGGUCAGCAUAUUGAAUAUGCCGGCAAGUCACAUAUCAGAGGGGUAAAGUAAUAAUCAACUAUCUCUACAUGCAUAUCUGGUCGGUGGAGCUAAGUUUUGCAUAAAGCCAGUUUUAUCCUACAACAAGAGGGGUUUGAAAGCAAAAUGUUACUACAAGGUUUGUUGUUAACGAGAUGGUUCCGCCAACCAGUUCUCAUACCCAAGUUGUCAAUAAUUACCCCCAUCAAAUAUAUAUAAUGGUGUUGAGAAAUCCAGAUAACUUCAGUUCCUUUGGCUCAAGUCGUCCAUGACCGUGGACACGGCUAAUCGAUUAGGUUUGAGUACUCUGCAGAGUUUUGCACACGUUCCCCACAAGAUUUGAUCGCCUCCGAGUAUGUCCUCGCACUUCAGGGUGUUUGAAGACCGGAUGAUCAAAACAUGGUCUUUCAACGGGUCCCUCUGAAUCCCUGUCGGUGCCCAUCCAUUCCUACCGUUCGUCUACAUCUGCUAGCACCGCCUGUCUAGAGUCGCCGCGUUGUCCAACCAAGCCAGAGCCCAUAAUGAAUUGUGGCUGUGCAGGUAAGCCUUGGGUCUUGAGAAUAUCCGUCCAUCUCUUUGAGCCUGGGUGAAGCUUUCCGCAGGAUGACAUGGCCUCUCCAGCAUCCCGGGCAUCCACUGGGUUUUCCAGGGAGACGAUCAACCACCCUUCACCCAGUGUUGCAUUGCGUCCGAGGUCUUGAAAAUCUUGUCUUAGUCCGGUCUUGAUUAUUAUAUCAACCUCGCAUCACUCGUGGUAUACACUCAACCGAUAACCCAUCUACUCAAGCAUAGCAUUAAGAAAUUGUCAUCCCGGGGCCAAGUAUCGGGGUGUUGUGUUCCUACCACCUGAUACUACAACUUACACUAAAGUUUCCAAGUACCUAGGCAGCAUGCAAUUGGGCAUAGGAUGGUAGAACUACAAUGCAUAAAACAUAGGUGAUAGUAUGAUCAAAGUGACUUGCCUGUGAUGUUGACGAAGAAGAAUUUCUCGAGAAAAUAACUUGAUAGACUACUCAUCACUCUCUGAUGAAAUCUAUAUAACAAACAUAUCAUUCACAUAAGCACUCAUACUAGCAAUCAUUCUAGCAAUCAAAACGAAGAGAGAGAGCGAAUAAGAAGCCGAAAGAAACUUCAAAUAAGACUAGGGAGUUUUCUACUACGUCAAACACUAAAUAGUUUUUGUCUAACAGAAAAUAAUAUUAAGGAACUAAGAUAUAAGUUUAACUAAGAUAAAAUAAAGUGUUUUUUUUCACAAAACCUUUUGAAAGUAUUCCCAAACGGAAUUUGAAACAAUGGUGAAAACAAUUGCACGUUACUACGGAGCUAGAAUUUAUUUCAUUAAAACAAAAAAAAAUAAAAUAACAACUUGUUGCAAAACUACUGUUAACUAACAUAAAAAAAAAAUAGUAAUCUUUCUGAAAUAAUAAAGAAAAUAUUUUAAAACAAAAGUAGAAAAUGAAUUAGCCGAAAACCUAAAAGAGGUGAAACAGAAAUUGUUUCACAUGACACAGUGAGCUCAAAUACUCAAACAAAUCUGAAAUUUUUACCACUGUAAGAUGUUAUCACUAGAAAACAGUAGCAAAAAGAAUCAACUAAAAAUCAUUUUUCAAACUCCUGGAAUAGGCAAAACAAGGUUUAAACUAAAUCUGAUCUAACUUAUAUUUAAAUAUUUCAAACACAGACAAAUUAUAUGUUUUUAAAAACUACAGGAAAUUUGUGAGCUACUGGAAAAAGAAUCACUAUCAUUGGACUUAGGGAUACAAAGUUGUGGCCAAAACAAGAUUGGAAGUUUCUGUUUUUGCUAUUUUUGACAGAAAAACUGCAGCUAACUAGUACUACAAAGGGGUACACGUGGUCAGUUGCUAGUGGCUGCGGACUUGUUUGUUUCAAAGCUUCGGGAAAACGGCCGAGCUCUAGCAAAGUCUACUGGCUAAAGUCAUAAGUGGAAAAAUAAACCACUGGUUUUCUGGGAUAAACCGAAGAGGUAUAGAUGAUCUAAUCUACACCAUCCACUUAAGAUCUAAUGGCUAUCAAAAGAGGACAUGGAAUAAAAGAGAGAGGAGGGAGCUACCUUGGCUGACCGUGGCUGGGCAGUGCUCCGGCGAGUCACAUCGCCGGCGAGGGGGAAGGGGGGGCUCCGGGGCGGUGAGGAAAANNNNNNNNNNNNNNNNNNNNNNNNNNNNNNNNNNNNNNNNNNNNNNNNNNNNNNNNNNNNNNNNNNNNNNNNNNNNNNNNNNNNNNNNNNNNNNNNNNNNNNNNNNNNNNNNNNNNNNNNNNNNNNNNNNNNNNNNNNNNNNNNNNNNNNNNNNNNNNNNNNNNNNNNNNNNNNNNNNNNNNNNNNNNNNNNNNNNNNNNNNNNNNNNNNNNNNNNNNNNNNNNNNNNNNNNNNNNNNNNNNNNNNNNNNNNNNNNNNNNNNNNNNNNNNNNNNNNNNNNNNNNNNNNNNNNNNNNNNNNNNNNNNNNNNNNNNNNNNNNNNNNNNNNNNNNNNNNNNNNNNNNNNNNNNNNNNNNNNNNNNNNNNNNNNNNNNNNNNNNNNNNNNNNNNNNNNNNNNNNNNNNNNNNNNNNNNNNNNNNNNNNNNNNNNNNNNNNNNNNNNNNNNNNNNNNNNNNNNNNNNNNNNNNNNNNNNNNNNNNNNNNNNNNNNNNNNNNNNNNNNNNNNNNNNNNNNNNNNNNNNNNNNNNNNNNNNNNNNNNNNNNNNNNNNNNNNNNNNNNNNNNNNNNNNNNNNNNNNNNNNNNNNNNNNNNNNNNNNNNNNNNNNNNNNNNNNNNNNNNNNNNNNNNNNNNNNNNNNNNNNNNNNNNNNNNNNNNNNNNNNNNNNNNNNNNNNNNNNNNNNNNNNNNNNNNNNNNNNNNNNNNNNNNNNNNNNNNNNNNNNNNNNNNNNNNNNNNNNNNNNNNNNNNNNNNNNNNNNNNNNNNNNNNNNNNNNNNNNNNNNNNNNNNNNNNNNNNNNNNNNNNNNNNNNNNNNNNNNNNNNNNNNNNNNNNNNNNNNNNNNNNNNNNNNNNNNNNNNNNNNNNNNNNNNNNNNNNNNNNNNNNNNNNNNNNNNNNNNNNNNNNNNNNNNNNNNNNNNNNNNNNNNNNNNNNNNNNNNAUUUCUUUUUGCAAAAGAAUUUUGGGUUUUCUUGGCUCCAACAUUUCAAAAAUUCCCGUACGAUGGAGGGUCAUGUUCCUCCUCUCUCGAAAUGUAUUUCCCGGCAUUUUGUUGCACGAAGAAAACGAAUGGAAAUGCAAGGAAAUUCAAAUGCAAACACCUCCGUUCAAAUUCUUUAUAAUUGAAGAAGUCAUGUCAUCUUCUCUCUUGGCUUUUAAAAGCUUGAAUUUGAAUUCGCCAAAGAAGGGGAAAGUCAUUUUAUUCCCUCUUAUUCGAAAAGUUUCGAAAAGUUUCAAAUUUCACACAAGUUUCACUCAUUCAGCAAACAAACAAACAAUCAAUCUAAUAAUUAUAUUAACAUUCCAAAAUUUAAAAUUUUGGGAUGUUACAAUUUUCCCUUUUAUUCGCUCUUCUUCCGUUCGCCUUUUUGUUGCUAUGUUUGCUUGUGUUGCCAUGUGCCUUCUAUUUGCUUGCAUCUUCGCUUGCUAAAAAUCUAUUGAUAUGUAUCCUCACCCACUUGCUAAUCUCUUUAAGAGAUCCAAUUAUGUUGAACCAAUUGCUAGUGGGUUUUGUGCACCAGAUUAUCUUUAUGAAGUUUUGCUUGAGAUGCGUGAAUCUGAAAAUUGUGAUGAAGAAAUUUAUGAAGUGAUUCACGAGGGGUCCUUGAAUGAAAAGCAUGAUUGCAAUGGUUUCACUAUAAAUUCUAUUAAUGACAAUCAUGUUAAAAAAAUGCAAAACCCUAAGCUUGGGGAUGCUAGUUUUGCUUUGUCCACUACUUGUUGCAAUGAUCAUGAUUGGGGUGAUGAUUUUUCUUACGAUCUUGAAAAUUUGUUUAAGCCUCAUGAUGAAUAUGAUAUUGAUAAUAAUGUUUGCAAUAAGAUUGAAAGUGGGUUUGGAGAAGUCAUGACUUUAAUUGAUGAUAAUCCCACUAUUUUUGAAGAGCGCCAACUUUGCAUGCAUGUGGAUCUUGAAAAUAAUAUCCUAUGUGAUAGUUAUAUUAUUGAAUUUGAAUAUGAUCCCACAUGUAAUUAUUAUGAGAGAGGAAAAAUAUGGUUGUAGAAAUUUUCAUAGCACUAAAUCACCUCUCGCUAUGUUGAGAUUGCUAUUGUCUCUUUCUUCUUCCUUGCAUAUGGUAACUAUUGGUUGUCUUAACAAUUUGUUUUCCUAUAAAAUGCCUAUGCAUAGGAAGUAUGUUAGACUUAGAUAUGUUUGUCACAUGUUUCAUGAUGCUCUCUUCAUGUCCGAUUGCUAUAUUUUAUGUGAGCAUCAUUGAAUUAUCAAUGCCUAGCUAAAAGGCUUUAAAGAAAAGCGCUUGUUGGGAGGCAACCCAAUGAAUAAAUUUAUUUUUGCUUUUCACUUUCUGUUUUGUUGUGUCCACACCAUCAUAAUUCUGUUAUGAUUGUGUUUUUUAUGUUUUUACUGUUUGUUCCAAGUAGAACCUUUAUGAUUAGUUUUGGUGAUAGUUGUUUGAUCAUGCUCAAAAAGACAGAAACUUUGUGCUCACGAAAUUAUUUUUAAUUCCUAUCCGGAAAGAUCUUUUGAGUUGAUUCUUUUUGCUGCUGAUUGAUAUGCUAAUUUCCCUAAUUUUUAUAUUUUUCAGAAUUUAUGGGAUACCAUAGGUAUACGAAGUAUACAGAUUGCUACAGACUGGUAUGUUUUUGACAGAUUCUGUUUUUGUUGUGUUGAUUGCUUAUUUUGAUGAAACUAUGGUUAAAAUCGGGGGAUACUAGCCAUGGAAAAGUGAGAAUACAGUAAUAUAACAUCAAUAUAAAUGGAAAUCAAGUUUACUACAUUACCUAAAGAGUUGGUGGUUUGUUUUCUUAUGCUAAUGAUAUGACGAGUUUCUGUUUAAGUUUUGUGUUGUGAAGUUUUCAAGUUUUGGGUGAUGUUCUCAUGGACAAUGGAAUAAAGAGUGGAACGAGCUUAAGCUUGGGGAUGCCCAAGUCAUCCCAAGCCAAAUUCAAGGACAUAAAAAAUCCUAAGCUUGGGGAUGCCCCGGGAAGGCACCCCCUCUCUUUCGUCCUCAAUCCAUCGGUAACGUUACUUGGAGCUAUAUUUUUAUUCACCACAUGAUAUGUGUUCUGCUUGGAGCGUCGUGUAUUAUAGGAGUAUUUGCUUUUUGUUUUGUCACAAUCAUCCUUGUUGCACACCUUUUUGAGAGGGACAUGCACUCAUCGGGAAUUUGUUAGAAUGCUCAAUGAGCUUCACUUAUAUCUUUUGAGUUAGGCAAUUUAGAUCGCAUGUGCUUCGCUUAUAUCUUUUGAGCUAGAUAACUUUGCUCUAGUGCUUCACUUAGAUCUUUUUAGAGCAUGGCGGUGUUAUAUUUUGUAGAAAUAAAAACUCUCGAUCUUCACGUAUACCAUUUUGAGAGUGCUCUCUCUAAGUAACUUGGUAAUUGGCGUGUGCUAUGAAAUUAGUCCUAAAUAUGAUAGGCAUCCAAAGAGGAUAUAAUAAAAACUUUCAUAUUCAAGUGCAUUGAUUAGUAAGAGAAGUUUGAUUCCUCACAAUUAGUUUUGAGAUAUGGAUAUGGUAAUCUUAGAGUCAUGUUAGUAGAGUGUUGUGAAUCUAGAAAUACUUGUGUUGAGGUUAGUGAUUCUCGUAGCAUGCACGUAUGGUGAACCGCUAUGUUAGGAAGUCGGAGCAUAAUUGAUUUAUUGAUUGUCAUCCUUUGUGUGGCAGUCGGGAUCGCGCGAUGGUUAACACCUACUGUUGGAAAUAUGCCCUAGAGGCAAUAAUAAAUUAGUUAUUAUUAUAUUUCUUUGUUCAUGAUAAUCGUUUAUUGUCCAUGCUAUAAUUGUAUUGAUUGGAAACACAAUACAUGUGUGGAUACAUAGACAAAACAUUGUCCCUAGUAAGACUCUAGUUGACUAGCUCGUUGAUCAAAGAUGGUCAAGGUUUCCUGACCAUAGGCAAGUGUUGUCACUUGAUAACGGGAUCACAUCAUUAGGAGAAUCAUGUCAUGGACUAGACCCAAACUAAUGAACGUAGCAUGUUGAUCGUGUCAUUUUGUUGCUACUGUUUUUCUACGUGUCAAGUAUUUAUUCCUAAUACCAUGAGAUCAUAUAACUCACUGGCACCGGAGGAACACCUUGUGUGUAUCAAACGUAACAACGUAACUGGGUGACUAUAAAGAUGCUCUACAGGUAUCUCCGAAGGUGUCCCGUUGAGUUAGUAUGGAUCAAGACUGGGAUUUGUCACUCCGUCUGACGGAGAGGUAUCUCGGGCCCACUCGGUAAUAUAACAUCACACACAAGCCUUGCAAGCAAUUAGACUUAGUGUAUGUCACGGGAUCUUGUAUUACGGAAUGAGUAAUAAGACUUGCCGGUAAACGAGAUUGAAAUAGGUAUGCAGAUACUGACGAUCGAAUCUCGGGCAAGUAACAUACCGAAGGACAAAGGGAAUGACAUACGGGAUUAUAUGAAUCCUUGGCACUGAGGUUCAACCGAUAAGAUCUUCGUAUAAUAUGUAGGAUCCAAUAUGGGCAUCAGGUCAUGUCUACAUAGUUCUCGAACCGGCAGGGUCUGCACACUUAAGGUUCGACGUUGUUUUAUGCGUAUUUGAGUUAUAUGGUUGGUUACAGAAUGUUGUUCGGAGUCCCGGAUGAGAUCACGGACGUCACGAGGGUUUCCGGAAUGGUCCGGAGACGAAGAUUGAUAUAUAGGAUGACCUCAUUUGAUUACGGGAAAGUUUUCAACAUUACCGGGAAUGUACCGGGAAUGACGAAUGGGUUCUGGAUGUUCACCGGGGGGGCAAGCCCACCCGGGGGAAGCCCAUAGGUCUUAGGGGUGCCGCACCAGCCCUUAGUGGGCUGGUGGGACAGCCCAAGAAGCCCUAUGCGCAGGAGAAAGAAAAAUCAAAGAGAAAAAAAAGGGGAAGUGGGAAAGUGGAGAAGGACUCCACCUUCCAAUCAUAGUUGGACUAGGAUUGGAAGGGGAGGACUCUCCCCCUUGCUUCGGCCGAACCCCUUGGGGCUCCUUGAGCCCCAAGGCAAGGCCCCUCCCCUUCCACCUAUAUAUACGGAGGUUUUAAGGCUGAUUUGGGACAACUUUUCGACGGCAGCCCGACCACAUACCUCCACGGUUUUUCCUCUAGAUCGCGUUUCUGCAGAGCUCGGACGGAGCCCUGCUGAGAUUAGAUCACCACCAACCUCUGGAGCGCCGUCACGCUACCGGAGAACUCAUCUACCUCUCCGUCUCUCUUGCUGGAUCAAGAAGGCCGAGAUCAUCGUCGAGCUGUACGUGUGCUGAACGCGGAGGUGUCGUCCGUUUGGCACUAGAUCGGAGCGGAUCGUGGGACGGAUCGCGGGACGGUUCGUGGGACGGUUCACGGGGCGGAUCGAGGAACGUGAGGACGUUCCACUACAUCAACCGCAUUUUUAACGCUUCUGUUGUGUGAUCUACAAGGGUGCGUAGAUCGAAAAUCCCCUCUCGUAGAUGGACAUCACCAUGAUAGGUUUUUGUGCGCGUAGGAAAUUUUUUGUUUCCCAUGCGACGUUCCCCAUCAGUGGCAUCAUGAGCUAGGUUCAUGCGUAGAUGUUAUCUCAAGUAGAACACAAAAGUUUUUGUGGGCGGUGAUGUGCGAUUUGCUGCCCUCCUUAGUCUUUUCUUGACUUCGCGGUAUUGUUGGAUCGAAGCGGCUCGGACCGACAUUACUCGUACGCUUACGAGAGACUGGUUUCAUCGCUACGAGCAACUCCGUUGCUCAAAGAUGACUGGCGAGUGUCGGUUUCUCCAACUUUAGUUGAAUCAUAUUUGACCGAGUAGGUCCUUGGAUGAGGUUAAAUAGCAAUUCAUAUAUCUCCGUUGUGGUGUUUGCGUAAGUAAGAUGCGAUCCUACUAGAUACCCAUGGUCACCACGUAAAACAUGCAACAACAAUUAGAGGACGUCUAACUUGUUUUUGCAGGGUAUGCUUGUGAUGUGAUAUGGCCAACGAGGUGAUGUGAUAUAUUGGAUGUAUGAGAUGAUCAUGUUGUAAUAGUUAAUAUCGACUUGCACGUCGAUGGUACGUCAACCGAUAGGAGCCAUAGAGUUGUCUUUUAACUAACGUUUGUGCUUGCAGAUGCGUUUACUAUAUUGCUAGGAUGUAGCUUUAGUAGUAAUAGCAUGAGUAGCACGACAACCCUGAUGGCGACACGUUGAUGGAGAUCAUGAUGAUGGAGACCAUGGUGUGACGCCGGUGACAAGAAGAUCGUGUCGGUGCUUUGGUGAUGGAGAUCAAGAAGCACAUGAUGAUGGCCAUAUCAUGUCACUUAUGAAUUGCAUGUGAUCUUAAUCCUUUAUGCACCUUAUAGUGCUUAGAACGACGGUAGCAUUAUGAGGUGAUCUCUCACUAAAAUUUCAAGCUCAAAUUGUGUUCUCCCCGACUGUGCACCGUUGCGACAGUUCGUCGUUUCUAGACACCACGUGAUGAUCGGGUGUGAUAGACUCAACGUUCACAUACAACGGGUGCAAAACAGUUGUACACGCGGAACACUCGGGUUAAACUUGAAGAGCCUAGCAUGUGCAGACAUGGCCUCGGAACACAUGAGACCGAAAGGUCGAGCAUGAAUCGUAUAGUUGAUAUGAUUAGCAUAGAGAUGCUUACCACUGAAACUAUUCUCGACUCACGUGAUGAUCGGACUUGAGAUAGUGGAUUUGGAUCAUGUACCACUCAAAUGACUAGAGAGAUGUACUUUUUGAGUGGGAGUUCUUAAAUAAUAUGAUUAAUUGAACUAAUUGCCAUGAACAUAGUCUAAUGGUCUUUGCAAAUUACGAUGUAGCUUGCGUUAUAGCUCUACUGUUUUUAUAUGUUCCUAGAGAAAAUUUAGUUGAAAGUUGAUAGUAGCAACUUUGCGGACUUAGUCUGUAAACAGAGGAGUGUCCUCGUUGUUGCGCAGAAGGCUUAUGUCCUUAAUGCACCACUCGGUGUGCUGCACCUCGAGCGUCGUCUGUGGAUGUUGUGAACAUCUGACAUACACGUUUCUGAUGACUACGCGAUAGUUCCGUGCAAAAUACUCAAUGGCUUAGAAGCAAGGCGCCGAAGAUGUUUUGAGACGUCACGGAACAUGAGAGAUGUUCUAAAGAGAUGAAAUUGUGAUUUCAUGCUUGUGCCCUUGUUGAUAGGUUUGAGACCUCCGACAAGAUUCUUUGUUCGCAAAGUAAAGGAGAAAAUCUCAAUAGUUGAGCGUGUGCUCAGAUUGUCUGAGUACGACAAUCGCUUGAAUCAAGUGGGAGUUGAUCUUCCAGAUGAGAUAGUGAUGGUUCUCCAAAGUCACUGCCACCAAGCUGUGAGAGCUUCGUGAUGAACAUAUCAAGGAUAGAUACAAUGAUCCUUGAGCGAUUCGCGAUGUUUGACACUACGAAAGUAGAAAGGCAAGGGUUAGAAGGGAUACUUCGUGAAACGGCAAAACAGUUGCUGCACUAAUGAAGAGACCCAAGAAUAAACCCAAACCCGAGACUAAGUGCUUCCGUUAUGAGGGGAACAGUCACUGAGGCGGAGCAACUCUAUAUACUUGGUAGAUAAGAAGGCUGGCAAAGUCGAAAGAAGUAUAUUUGAUGAACAUGAAGUUGAUGUGUACUUUACUAGUACUCCUAGUAGCGCGAGGGUAUUGGAUACCGGUUCGGUUGCUAAGUGAUUAGUAACACGAAAUGAAAGCUACGGUAUAAAGUGAGACUAGCUAAAGGCGAGGUGACAAUAAGUGUUAAAAGUGUUUCCAAGGUUGAUGUGAUCAAACGUCGCACGCUUCCUCUAUCAUCGGGAUUGGUGGUAAAACCUAAAUAAAUGUUAUUUGGUGUUUGAGUUGAGCAUGAACAUGAUUGGAUCAUGUUUAUUGCAAUACGAUUAUUCAUUUAAAGAGAAUAAUAGUUGUUCUAUUUGCUUGAAUAAUUACCCUCAAUGGUUUAUUGAAUCUCGAUCAUAGUGUUACACAUGUUCAUAAUAUUAGUGCCAAAGAUACAAAGUAAUAAUGAUAGUACCACUUAGUUGUGGCACUGCCACUUGAGUCAUGUUGGUAUAAAAUGCAUGUAGAAGCUCCAUACUGAUGGAUCUUUGUACUCACUGAUUUUUGAAACGUUUGAGACAUGCAAACCAUACCUGUUGGUAUAAAUGCAUGAAGAAACUCCAUGAGAGAUGGAUCGUUUGGACUUGCUUGAUUUUGAAUCACUUGAGACAUGCAAAACAUGCGACAUGAAACAAGAGAAUAACUUGUUGGGAAUAAUACAUUUUUGAUGUGUGCAGUCCAAUGAGUGCUAAGGCAUGCAGUGGAUAUCGUUAUGUUCUUACUUCAUUGACGAUUUGAGUAGAUACAGGAGUAUUUACUUGAUGAAUCACAAAGUCUGAAAUAUUGAAAAGUUCAAUUCUGUUUCAGAGUGAAGUUCGUCGUAACAAGAGGAUAAAUUGUCUACGAUAUGAUCAUAGAAAUGAAUAUCUGAGUUACGAGUUUUGGUACGCAGUUAAGACAAUGUGGAAAUUGUUUCGCAGUUCAUGCCACCUGGAACACCAUAGUGUGAUGAUGUGUCUGAACGUCAUAGCCACGCCCUAUUUGAUAUGGUGCAUAUUAUGAUGUCUCUUAUCGAAUUACCACUAUCGUUUAUGGGUUAUGCAUUAGAGACAACCGCAUUCACUUUAAAUAGGUCAUUGCAUAUUUCUGUUGAGAGGACACAAUAUAGACUAAGGUUUAGAGAAAUCUAAGCUGUCGUUUCUUGAAAGUUUGGGGCUGCAAUGUUUAUGUGAAAAAGGUUUCAAUCUGAUAAGCUCGAACCCAAAGCGGAUGAAAGCAUCUUCAUAGGAUAUCCAAAGCAGUUGGAUACAUUUCCUAUCUCAGAUCCGGAAGCAAAGUGUUUGUUUCUAGAAACGGAUCCUUUCUCGAGGAAAGGUUUCUCUCGAAAGAAUUGAGUGGGAGGGUGGUAGAACUUGACGAGGUUAUUGAACCAUCACUUCAACCAGUGUGUAGCAGGGCGCAGGAAGUUGUUCGUGUGGCGCCUACACUAAUUGAAGUGGAAGCUGAUGAUGGUGAUCAUUAAGCAUUGGAUCAAGUUACUAGAAACCUCAUAGGUCGACAAGGUCGCAUACUACUACAGAGUGGUACGGUAACCCUGUCUUGGAGGUCAUGUUGUUGAACAACAAUGAACCUACGAUUAAUGGAGAAGCAAUGGUGGGCCCGGAUUCCGACAAAUCGCUGGAGGCCAUGAAAUUCGAGAGAGAAUCCAUAUGUGAGAACAAAGUAUAGACUUUGGAAGAACUUGAUGGUCGUAGGACUAUUAAGUAAAGAUGGAUCUUUAUAAGGAAGACAGACGAUGAUGGUGAAUUGUCACUAUUAAGAAAAGCUCGACUUGUCGCAAAGAUGUUUCCGCAAGAUCAAAUAGUUGACUAUGAUGAGACUUUCUCACUCGUAGCGAUGCUAAAAGUCUAUUGGAAUUAUGUUAGUAGUUGCUGCAUUAUUUGUGAAAUAUUGCACAUAGGAAGACAAAACAUUGUUUCCUCGACGGUUUCCUUGAGGAAAGAUUGUAUAUGAUACAACAAGAAGGUUUUGUCGAUCCUAAGGAUACUAGCAAGUAUGCAAGCUCCAGCGACCCUUCAAUGGACUGGUGCAAGCAUCUCGGAGUUGGAAUAUACACUUUGAUGAGAUGAUCAAAGAUUUUGGGUUUGUACAAGGUUUAUGAGAAACUUGUAUUUCCAAACAAGUGAGUGGGAGCACUAUAGAAUUUCUGAUAAGUAUAUGUGGUUGACAUAUUGUUGAUCAGAAGUAAUGUAGAAUUUCUGUAAAGCAUACAAGGUUGUUUGAAAGGAGUUUUUCAAAGGAAUACCUGGAUUGAGCUACUUGAACGUUGAGCAUCAAGAUCUAUGGAGAUAGAUCGAAACGCUUAAUAGAAGUUUCAACAAGAUGCAUGCCUUGACAAGUUUUUGAAGGAGUUCAAAAUAGAUUAGCAAAGAAGGAGUUCUUGACUGUGUCGUAAGGUGUGAAUUUGAGUAAGACUCAAAACCCGACCACGGCAUAAUAAAGAGAAUAGACGAAGGUCGUCUUCUAUGCCUUAGCCGUAGACUCUAAAGUAUGCCAUGCUGAGUACCGCACCUGAUGUGUGCCUUGCAGCAAGUCUGUUAAGAGGUACACAAAGUGAUCCAGGAUUGAAUCACUGAUCAGCGGUCAAAGUUAUCCUUAGUAACUAAAUAGACUAAGGAAUAUUUCUCGAUUAUGGAGGUGGUUAAAGAGUUCGUCGUAAAGGGGUACGUCGAUGCAAGCUUUGACACUAAUCCGAAUAACUAUGAGUAGUGAAACGGAUUCGUAUAGUAGAGUUGAUAUUUGGAGUAUUUCCAAAUAUCACGUAGUAGCAGCAUCUAUAAGAUGACAUAAUGAUUUGUAAAGAACACACGGAUCUGAAAGUUUCAGAACCGUUGACUAAAACCUCUCUCACGAGCAAGACGUGAUCAGACCCCGGAACUAUAUGGGUGUUGGAUUCGUUAGAAUCACAUGGUGAUGUGAACUAGAUUAUCGACUCUAGUGCAAGUGGGAGACUGUUGGAAAUAUGCCCUAGAGGCAAUAAUAAAUUAGUUAUUAUUAUAUUUCUUUUUUCAUGAUAAUCGUUUAUUGUCCAUGCUAUAAUUCUAUUGAUUGGAGACACAAUACAUGUGUGGAUACAUAGACAAAACAUUGUCACUAGUAAGCCUCUAGUUGACUAGCUCGUUGAUCAAAGAUGGUCAAGGUUUCUGACCAUAGGCAAGUGUUGUCACUUGAUAACGGGAUCACAUCAUUAGGAAAAUCAUGUGAUGGACUAGACCCAAACUAAUGAACGUAGCAUGUUGAUCGUGUCAUUUUGUUGCUACUGUUUUUCUGCGUGUCAGGUAUUUAUCCCUAUGACCAUGAGAUCAUAUAACUCACUGGCACCGGAGGAAUACCUUGUGUGUAUCAAACGUCACAACGUAACUGGGUGACUAUAAAGAUGCUCUACAGGUAUCUCCGAAGGUGUCCGUUGAGUUAGUAUGGAUCAAGACUAGGAUUUGUCACUCUGUGUGACGGAGAGGUAUCUCGGGGCCCACUCGGUAAUACAACAUCACACACAAGCCUUGCAAGCAAUGUGACUUAGUGUAUGUGACAGGAUCUUGUAUUACGAAACGAGUAAAGAGACUUGCGGGUAUACGAGAUUGAAAUAGGUAUGCAGAUACUGACGAUCGAAUCUCGGGCAAGUAACAUACCGAAGGACAAAGGGAAUGACAUACGGGAUUAUAUGAAUCCUUGGCACUGAGAUACAACCGAUAAGAUCUUCGUAGAAUAUGUAGGAUCCAAUAUCGGCAUCCAGGUCCCGCUAUUGGAUAUUGACCGAGGAGUCUCUCAGGUCAUGUCUACAUAUUCUCGAACCCGCAGGGUCUGCACACUUAAGGUUCGACGUUGUUUUCUGCGUAUUUGAGUUAUAUGGUUGGUUACCGAAUGUUGUUCGGAGUCCUGGAUGAGACCACGGACGUCAUGAGGGUUUCCGGAAUGGUCCGGAGAUGAAGAUUGAUAUAUAGGAUGACUUCAUUUGAUUACCGGAAAGUUUUCGACAUUACCGGGAAUGUACCGGGAAUGACGAAUGGGUUUCGGAUGUUCACCGGGGGGGCAAGCCCACCCGGUGGAAGCCCAUAGGUCUUAGGGGUUCCGCACCAGCCCUUAAUGGGCUGGUGGGACAGCCCAAGAAGCCCUAUGCGCAGGAGAAAGAAAAAUCAAAGAGAAAAAAAGGGGAAGUGGGAAAGUGGAGAAGGACUCCACCUUCCAAUCCUAGUUGGACUAGGAUUGGAAGGGGAGGACUCUCCCCCUUGCUUCGGCCGAACCCCUUGGGGCUCCUUGAGCCCCAAGGCAAGGCCCCUCCCCUCCCACCUAUAUAUACGGAGGUUUUAGGGCUGAUUUGAGACAACUUUUCCACGGCAGCCGGACCACAUACCGCCACGGUUUUUCCUCUAGAUCGCGUUUCUGCGGAGCUCGGGCGGAGCCCUACUGAGAUUAGAUCACCACCAACCUCCGGAGCGCCGUCACGCUGCCGAACAACUCAUCUACCUCUCUGUCUCUCUUUAUGGAUCAAGAAGGCCGAGAUCAUCGUCGAGUUGUACGUGUGAUGAACGCGGAGGUGCCGUCCGUUCGGCACUAGAUCGGAGAGGAUCGUGGGACGGAUCGCGGGACGGUUCGUGGGACGGUUCGCGGGGCGGAUCGAGGGACGUGAGGACGUUCCACUACAUCAACCGCGUUUAUUAACGCUUCUGCUGUGCGAUCUACAAGGGUACGUAGAUCGGAAAUCCCCUCUCGUAGAUGGACAUCACCACGAUAGGUUUUCAUGCGCGUAGGAAAAUUUUUGUUUCCCAUGCGACGUUCCCCAUCACCUACCAACCCUUCCCCUAGGAGUAUGCGUUUAGCACUUCGUUUCGAUUACUAAUAAAACUUUCGCAACAAGUAUAUGAGUUCUUCAUGACUAAUGUGAGUCCAUGAUAUAGAUGCACUCUCACCAUCCACCAUUGCUAGCCUCUCUAGUGCCGUGCAACUUUCGCCGGUGCACAAACCCACCGUAUACCUUCCUCAAAACAGCCACCAUACCUAUCUAUUAUGGCAUCUUCAUAGCCAUUCCGAGAUAUAUUGCCAUGCAACUUUCACCGUUCCGUCUCAUGACAUGUGCCGUCAUUUUCAUAUUGCCGUUGCAUGAUCGUAAGAUAGCUAGCGAGAUGUUUGAACGUCAUACGCUAAGCUAGAUAAUUGCACAUCCCGGUACACUGCCGGAGGCAUUUCAUAUAGAGUCAUUAUUGUUCUAAGUAUUGAGUUGUAAGUAAAUAAAAGUAUGAUGAUCAUCAUUAUUAGAGCAUUGUCCCAUGUGAGGAAAUAAAAAAAAAUAGGCCAAAGAUGCCCACCAAAAAAAAUGAAAAAAAGAGGCCAAGGAGCCCAAACAAAAAUAAAUGAUGAGAGAAAAAGAGAGAAGGGACAAUGCUACUAUCUUUUCCCAUACUUGUGCUUCAAAAUAUCACCAUGUUCUUCAUGAUAGAGAGUCUCUCAUUUUGUCACUUCCAUAUACUAGUGGGAAUUUUCAUUUUAUAACUUGGCUUGUAUAUUCCAAUGACGGGCUUCCUCAAAAUUGCCCUAGGUCUUCGUGAGAAAGCAAGUUGGGCGCACACCCACUAGUUUUAUUUUUGAGCUUUCAUACACUUGUAGCUCUAGUGCAUCCGUUGCAUUGCAAUCCCUACUCAUUCACAUUGAUAUCUAUUGAUGGACAUCUCCAUAGCCUAUUGAUAUGCCGAGUCGAUGUGACCAUCUCCUCCUUUUUGCCUCACAACCUCCACCAUACUCCAUUCCACCUAUAGUGCUAUAUCCAUGGCUCACGCUCAUGUAUUGCGUGAGAGUUGAAAAAGUUUGAGAAAGUAAGAGUGCGAAAACAAUUACUUGGCCAAUACCGGGGUUGUGCAUGAUUUAAAUUCGUUGUGUGGGGAUGAUGGAGCAUAGACAGACUAUAUGAUUUUGUAGGGAUAACUUUCUUUGGCCUAGUUAUUUCAAAAGUUCAUGACUACUUUGCUAGUAUGCUUGAAGCAUUAUUGUUUUCAUGUCAAUAGUAAACUAUUGUUUUGAAUCUUACGGAUCUGGACAUUCAUGCCACAAGAAAGAAGUCACCAAGAACAAAUAUGUUAGGUAGCAUUCCACAUCAAAAAUUCGGUCUUUAUCACUUCCCUACUCGAGGACGAGCAGGAGUUAAGCUUGGGGAUGCUUGAUACGUCUCCAACGUAUCUAUAAUUUUUUAUGGUUCCAUGCUAUUAUGUUAUCAACUUUGGAUGCUUUAUAUGCAUGAAUAUGCUAUUUUAUAUCAUUUUUGGGACUAACCCAUUAACUCAGUGCCCAGUGCCAGUUUCUGUUUUUUCCGUGUUUUUGCCUUUUUUAGAAAAGAAUAUUAAACGGAGUCCAAACAGAAUAAAACCUGUGGGGUGAUUUUUUCCAUAACAGAAGAUACACAAAGGACUUGAGAACCAAAGCAAGAGACCUCGUGGGAGGUCACAAGCCCCCUAGGCGCGCCCUAGGGGGGGCGCCUGGUAGGCUUGUGGGCCUCAUGUGCCUCCUUUGCCCGACCUCUUUCGCCUAUAAAUUCUCUAAAAUCUCGAAACCAAAGAAGAGAGCCACGAAAAUACUUUUCCGCCGCCGCAAGCUUCUGUCUCCGCAAGAUCCCAUCUGGGGACCGUUGUGGUGCCCUGCCGGAGGGGGAUUCGGACACGGAGGGCUUCUUCAUCAACACCAUUGCCUCUUCGAUGAUGCGUGAGUAGUUCACCACAGACCUUCGGGUCCAUAGCUAGUAGCUAUAUGGCUUCUUCUCUCUCUUGGAUCUUCAAUACAAAGUUCUCCAUGAUCUUCAUGGAGAUCUAUCUGAUGUAACUUUCUUUUGUAGUGUGUUUGUCGAGAUCCGAUGAAUUGUGGAUUUAUGAUCAGAUUAUCGAUGAAUAUUAUUUGAGUCUCCUCUGAUCUCUUAUAUGCAUGAUUUCGUAUCCUUGUAAUUCUCUUCGAGUUAUGGGUUUCGUUUGGCCAACUAGAUCUAUAAUUCUUGCAAUGGGAGAAGUGCUUGGUUUUGGGUUCAUACCGUGCGGUGUCCUCACCCAGUGACAGAAAGGGUAGCGAGGCACGCAUCAUGUUGUUGCCAUCAAGGGUAAAAAGAUGGGGUUUAUAUCAUAUUUCAUGAAUUUAUCGUUCUAUAUCAUGUCAUCUUGCUUAAGGCGUUACUCCGUUUGUUAUGAACUUAAUACACUAGAUGCAUGUUGGAUAGCGGUCGAUGUGUGGAGUAAUAGUAGUAGAUGCAGACAGUAUCGGUCUACUUGUCUUGGACGUGAUGCCUAUAUGUAUGAUCAUUGCCUUAGAUAUCGUCAUGACUUCGCGAGAUUCUAUCAAUUGCUCAACAGUAAUUCGUUCACCCACCGUAAUACUUGCUAUCAUGAGAGAAGCCUCUAGUGAACACUAUGGCCCCCGGGUCUACUUCACAUCAUAUAUUCAGAUCUACAAAAAUACCAAAAAUACUUUGUUGCACUUUUCACCUUCAGAUUCACCUUGCAAGUAAUCGUGAAGGGAUUAACAACCCCUUUAUAGCGUUGGGUGCAAGUUUGUUUGUUUUGUGCAGGUACAUUGGUGCCUCAUCUUCAUACUCCUACUGGAUUGAUACCUUGGUUUUCAAACUAAGGGAAAUACUUAUCACUACUUUGUUGCAUCACCCUUUCCUCUUGAAGGGAAAAACCAACGCAAGCUCAAGAGGUAGCAGGGGCGGCGGCCGGGAGGGAGGUGGGAGGAGGGCGGCGGCGUAGGUGGCUGGGAGGGAGCAGGUGGGUGAGGAAGAGAGAGAGGGGGGUGGAGCGGGUGAGAGAGAGAGGUGUUGGGGGUGGGAGCGUCGGCCGUUAGGAGGGGAGCCCUUUGCCGUCUUGGAGUGGAUGGCAAAGAGGUGGGGUGGGGUAGAAAGCGACUGUUAGGAGCACCUCUUUGCAGUCUGCCGUGGUUUUCUUUGCCGUCCGCCGGCGGACGGCAAAGAGCUAGCACCUCUUUGUCAUCUGUCUUUGGUCUCUUUACCAUGUGCGAGCACACGACAAAUAAAAGGCACAUGGCAAACAAUCUCUAUGCCAUCUGCCUUCUCUUUGCCGUCUGCCACUUGUAAGCUGACGGCAAAUAUCUUCUUUGCUGACAGGGGGGGACGGCAAAGACUAGGCCCAUGGCAAAUUUCCUUUUUCCAGUAGUGAUACAUGUUCUUCUUGGGAGAUUUUGUUGGAAAUAUGCCUUAGAGGCAAUAAUAAUUAGUUAUUAUUAUAUUUCUUUGUUCAUGAUAAUCGUUUAUUAUCCAUGCUAUAAUUGUAUUGAUUGGAAACACAAUACUUGUGUGGAUACAUAGACAAAACAAUGUCCCUAGUAAGCCUCUAGUUGACUAGCUCGUUGAUCAAAGAUGGUCAAGGUUUCCUGGCCAUAGGCAAGUGUUGUUAGUUGAUAACGGGAUCACAUCAUUAGGAGAAUCAUGUGAUGGACUAGACCCAAACUAAUAGACUUAGCAUGUUGAUCGUGUCAUUUUGUUGCUACUGUUUUCUGCGUGUCAAGUAUUUGUUCCUAUGACCAUGAGAUCAUAUAACUCACUGACACCAGAGGAAUGAUUUGUGUGUAUCAAACAUCGCAACGUAAUUGGGUGACUAUAAAGAUGCUCUACAGGUAUCUCCGAAGGUGUUCGUUGAGUUAGUAUGGAUUGAGACUGGGAUUUGUCACUCAGUGUGACGGAGAGGUAUCUCGAGGCCCACUCGGUAAUACAACAUCACACACAAGCCUUGCAAGCAAUGUGACUUAGUGUAAGUUGCGGGAUCUUGUAUUACGGAAUGAGUAAAGAGACUUGCCGGUAAACGAGAUUGAAAUAGGUAUGCGGAUACUGACGAUCGAAUCUCGGGCAAGUAACAUACCGAAGGACAAAGGGAAUGACAUACGGGAUUAUAUGAAUCCCUGGCACUGAGGUUCAAACGAUAAGAUCUUCGUAGAAUAUGUGGGAACCAAUAUGGGCAUCCAGGUCCCGCUAUUGGAUAUUGACCGAGGAGUCACUCGGGUCAUGUCUACAUAGUUCUCGAACCCGCAUGGUCUGCACACUUAAGGUUCGACGUUGCUUUAUGCGUAUUUGAGGUAUAUGGUUGGUUACCGAAUGUUGUUCGGAGUCCCGGAUGAGAUCACGGACGUCACGAGGGUUUUCGGAAUGGUCCGGAAACAAAGAUUGAUAUAUAGGAUGACCUCAUUUGAUUACCGGAAGGUUUUCGGAGUUACCGGGAAUGACAAAUGGGUUCCGGGUGUUCACCGGGGGGGCAGCCCACCCCGGGGAAGACCAUAGGCCUUGGGGGUGGUGCACCAGCCCUUGGUGGGCUGGUGGGACAGCCCAAGAAGGCCCUAUGCGCCAUAGAUAGAAAAUCAAAGAGAAAAGAAAAAAAGGAGGUGGGAAAGGAAAGAAGGACUCCACCUUCCAAUCCUAGUUGGACUAGGAUUGGAGGAGGACUCCUCCUCCCUUGGUGGCGCAGCCCUUGGGGCUCCUUGAGCCUCAAGGCAAGCCUCCCCUCCCCUCCUCCUAUAUAUAUAUGGAGCUAUUAGGGCUGAUUUGAGACAACUUUUGCCACGGCAGCCCGACUACAUACCUCCACGGUUUUUCCUCUAGAUCGCGUUUCUGCGGAGCUCGGGAGGAGCCAUGCUGAGAUUAGAUCACCACCGACCUCCGGAGCGCCAUCACGCUGCCGGAGAACUCAUCUACCUCUCCGUAUCUCUUUCUGGAUCAGAAGGCCGAGAUCAUCGUUGAGCUGUACGUGUGCUGAACGCGGAGGUGUCGUCUGUUCGGCACUAGAUCGGAGCGGAUCGUGGGACGGAUCGCGGGACGGCUCGUGGGACGGUUCGCGGGGCGGAUCGAGGGACGUGAGGACGUUCCACUACAUCAACCGCGUUACUAACGCUUCUGCUGUGCGAUCUACAAGGGUACGUAGAUCGGAAAUCCUCUCUCGUAGAUGGACAUCACCAUGUUAGGUCUUCGUGCGCGUAGGAAUUUUUUUGUUUCCCAUGCGACGUUCCGCAACAGUGGCAUCAUGAGCUAGGUUCAUGCGUAGAUGUCUUCUCGAGUAGAACACAAAAGUUUUUGUGGGCGGUCAUGUGCGUUUUGCUACCCUCCUUAGUCUUUUCUUGAUUACACGGUAUUGUUGGAUCGAAGCGGCUCGGACCGACAUUACUCGUACGCUUACGAGAGACUGGUUUCAUCGCUACGAAUAACUCCGUUGCUCAAAGAUGACCGGCGAGUGUCGGUUUCUCCAACUUUAGUUGAAUCGGAUUUGACCGAGGAGGUCCUUGGAUGAGGUUAAAUAGCAAUUCAUACAUCUCCGUUGUGGUGUUUGCGUAAGUAAGAUGCGAUCCUACUAGAUACCCAUGGUCACCACGUAAACAUGCAACAACAAUUAGAGGACGUCUAACUUGUUUUUGCAGGGUAUGCUUGUGAUGUGAUAUGGCCAACGACGUGAUGUGAUAUAUUGGAUGUAUGAGAUGAUCAUGUUGUAAUAGUUAAUAUCGACUUGCACGUCGAUGGUACGGCAACCGGCAGGAGCCAUAGGGUUGUCUUUAAACUAACAUUUGUGCUUGCAGAUGCGUUUACUAUAUUGCUAGGACGUAGAUUUAGUAGUAAUAGCAUGAGUAGCACGACAACCCCGAUGGCGACACGUUGAUGGAGAUCAUGAUGAUGGAGAUCAUGGUGUGACGCCGGUGACAAGAAGAUCGUGCCGGUGCUUUGGUGAUGGAGAUCAAGAAGCACAUGAUGAUGGCCAUAUCAUGUCACUUAUGAAUUGCAUGUGAUGUUAAUCCUUUAUGCACCUUAUCUUGCUUAGAACGACGGUAGCAUUAUGAGGUGAUCUCUCACUAAAAUUUCAAGACGAAAUUGUGUUCUCCCCAACUGUGCACCGUUGCGACAGUUCUUCGUUUCAGGACACCACGUGAUGAUCGGGUGUGAUAGACUCAACAUUCACAUACAACGGGUGCAAAACAGUUGCACACGCGGAACACUCGGGUUAAGCUUGACGAGCCUAGCAUGUGCAGACAUGGCCUCGGAACACAUGAGACCAAAAGGUCGAGCAUGAACUGUAUAGUUGAUAUGAUUAGCAUAGAGAUGCUUACCACUGAAAUUAUUCUCGACUCACGUGAUGAUUGGACUUGAGAUAGUGGAUUUGGAUCAUGUACCACUCAAAUGACUAGAGAGAUGUACUUUUUGAGUGGGAGUUCUUAAGUAAUAUGAUUAAUUGAACUAAUUGUCAUGAACAUAGUCUAAUGGUCUUUGCGAAUUACGAUGUAGCUUGCGCUAUAGCUCUACUGUUUUUAUAUGUUCCUAGAGAAAAUUUAGUUGAAAGUUCAUAGUAGAAAACUUUGCAGAGGAUUGUCCUCGUUGCUGCACAGAAGGCUUAUGUCCUUAAUGCACCACUCGGUCUGCUGCACCUCGAGCGUCGUCUGUGGAUGUUGUGAACAUCCGACAUACACGUUUCUGAUGACUACACGAUAGUUCCGUGCAAAAUACUUAAUGGCUUAGAAGCAAGGCGCUGAAGACGUUUUGAAACGUCACGGAACAUAAGUAAUGUUCUAAAGAGAUGAAAUUGUGAUUUCAUGCUUGUGCCCUUGUUAAGAGGUACGAGACCUCCGACAAGAUUCUUUGUCCACAAAGUAAAGGAGAAAAGCUCAAUCGUUGAGCGUGUGCUCAAAUUGUCUGAGUACGACAAUCGCUUGAAUCAAGUGGGAGUUAAUCUUCCAGAUGAGAUAGUGAUGGUUCUCCAAAGUCACUGCCACCAAGUUGUGAGAGCUUCGUGAUGAAAUAUAACAUAUCAAGGAUAGAUACAAUGAUCCUUGAGCGAUUCACGAUGUUUGACAGUGCGAAAGUAGAAAUCAAGAAGGAGCAUCAAUAGUUGAUGGUUAGUAAAACCACUAAGUUUCAAGAAAGGCAAGGGCUAGAAGGGAUACUUCGUGAAACAGCAAAAUAGUUGCUGCACUAAUGAAGAGACCCAAGAUUAAACCCAAACCCGAGACUAAGUGCUUCUGUAAUGAGGGGAACAGUCACUGAGGCGGAGCAACUCUAGAUACUUGGUAGAUAAGAACGCUGGAAAAGUCGAAAGAAGUAUAUUUGAUAUACAUGAUGUUGAUGUGUACUUUACUAGUACUCCUAGUAGCACGAGGGUAUUGGAUACCGGUUUGGUUGCUAAGUGAUUAGUAACACGAAAUGAAAGCUAUGGCAUAAACGGAGACUAGCUAAAGGCGAGGUGACGAUACGUGUUGGAAGUGUUUCCAAGGUUGAUAUGAUCAAAACGUCGCACGCUCCCUCUACCAUCGGGAUUGGUGUUAAACCGAAAUAAUUGUUAUUUGGUGCUUGCGUUAAGCAUGAACAUGAUUGGAUCGUGUUUAUUGCAAUACGAUUAUUCAUUUAAAAGAAUAAUGGUUACUCUAUUUGCUUGAAUAAUCACCUUCAAUGGUUUAUUGAAUCUCGAUCGUAGUGUUACACAUGUUCAUGAUAUUGGUGCCAAAAGAUACGAGGUAAUGAUGAUAGUACCACUUACUUGUGGCACUGCCGCUUGAGUCAUGUUGGUAUAAAUUGCAUGAAGAGGCUCCAUGAUGAUGGAUCUUUAUACUCACCUGAUUUUGAAUCACUAGUGACAUGCAAAUCAUACCACAUGAGCAAGGCCUUGUUUUCAUUGUGAUGAAACAAGAUAGUAACUUGUUGGAAGUGAUACAUUUUGAUGUAUGCAGUCCAAUGGGUGCUGAGGCACGCAGUGGAUAUCAUUAUGUUCUUACUUCAAUGACGAUUUGAGUGGAUACAAGAGUAUUUACUUAAUGAAUCACAAGUUUGAAAUAUUGAAAAAGUUCAAUUCUGUUUCGGAGUGAAGUUCGUCGUAACAAGAGGAUAAACUGUCUACGAUAUGAUCAUAGAAAUGAAUAUCUGAGUUACGAGUUUUGGUACGCAGUUAAGACAAUGUGGAAAUUGUUUCACAAUUCAUGCCACCUGGAACAUCAUAGUGUGAUGAUGUGUCUGAACGUCAUAGCCACGCACUAUUUGGUAUGGUGCAUGCUAUGAUGUCUCUUAUCGAAUUACCACUAUCGUUUAUGGGUUAUGCAUUAGAGACAUCCGCAUUCACUUCAAAUAGGGCACCCCGUAUUUCCGUUGAGAUGACACAGUAUAGAUUGAGGUUUAGAGAAAUCUAAACUGUCGUUUCUUGAAAGUUUGGGGUUCGACACUUGUGUGAAAAGGUUUCAGUCGAAUAAGCUCAAACCCAAAGCGGAUAAAUGCAUCUUCAUAGGAUAUCCAAAAUAGUUGGGUACAUCUCCUAUCUCAGAUCCGAAAGCAAAGUGUUUGUUUCUAGAAACGGAUCCUUUCUCGAGGAAAGGUUUCUCUUGAAAGUAUUGAGUGGGAGGGUGGUAGAACUUAAUGAGGUUAUUGAACCAUCACUUCAACCAGUGUGUAGCAGGGCGCAGGAAGUUGUUCCUGUGGCGCCUACAGCAAUUGAAGUGAAAGCUGAUGAUGGUGAUCAUCGAGCAUCGGAUCAAGUUACUACAAGCCUCGUAGGUUGACAAGGUCACGUACUACUGUAGAGUGGUACGGUAACCCUAUCUUGGAGGUCAUGUUGUUGAGCAGCAGUGAACCUACGAGUUAUGGAGAAAGCAAUGGUGGGCCCGGAUUCCGACAAAUGGCUCGAAGCCAUGAAAUCCGAGAGAGGAUCCAUGUAUGAAAACAAAGUGUAGACUUUGGAAGAACUACUUGAUGGUCAUAGGACUAUUGAGUAAAGAUGGAUCUUUAAAAGGAAGACAGACGAUGAUGGUGAUAAGUCACUAUUAAGAAAAGCUCGACUUGUCGCAAAGAUGUUUCCGACAAGAUCAAACAGUUGACUAUGAUGAGACUUUCUCACUCGUAGUGAUGCUGAAAGUCUGUUAGAAUUAUGUUAGUAGUUGCUGCAUUAUUUAUGAAAUAUUGCACAUAGGAUCUCAAAAUAUUGUUUGCCGACGGUUUCCUUGAGCAAACAUUGUAUGUGAUACAACCAGGAGGUUUUGUCGAUCCUAAAGAUACUAGCAAGUAUGCAAGCUCCAGCAAUCCUUCAAUGGACUGGUGCAAGCAUCUCGGAGUUGGAAUAUACACUUUGAUGAGAUGAUCAAAGAUUUUGGGUUUGUACAAGGUUUAUGAGAAACUUGUAUUUCCAAAGAAGUGAGUGCGAGCACUAUAGAAUUUCUGAUAAGUAUAUGUGGUUGACAUAUUGUGGAUCAGAAGUAAUGUAGAAUUUCUGUAAAGCAUACAAGGUUGUUUGAAAGGAGUUUUUCAAAGGAAUACCUAGAUUGCGCUACUUGAACGUUGAGCAUCAAAGAUCUAUGGAGAUAGAUCGAAAGCACUUAAUAGAAGUUUCAACAAGAUGCAUGCCUUGACAAGUUUUUGAAGGAGUUCAAAAUAGAUCAGCAAAGAAGGAGUUCUUGGUUGCGUUAUGAGGUGUGAAUUUGAGUAAGACUCAAAACCCGACCCCGGCAGAAUAAAGAGAAUAGAUGAAGGUCGUCUUCUAUGCCUUGGUCGUAGAAUCUGAAGUAUGCCAUGCUGGGUACCACACCUGAUGUGUGCCUUUUAACUCAAAGUCUGUUGAGAGGUACAGAGAGUGAUCCAUGAUUGAAUCACUGAUCAGCGGUCAAAGUUAUCCUUAGUAACUAAAUAGACUAAGGAAUUUUUCUCGAUUAUGGAGGUGGUUAAAGAGUUCGUCGUAAAGGGUUACGUCGAUGCAAGCUUUGACACUAAUCUGAAUAAAUAUGAGUAGUGAAACGGAUUCGUAUAGUAGAGUAGAUAUUUGGAGCAUUUCCGAAUAGCACGUAGUAACAGCAUCUAUAAGAUGACAUAAAGAUUUGUAAAGAACGCACGGAUCUGAAAGUUUCAGAACCGUUGAGUAAAACCUCUCUCACGAGCAAGACGUGAUCAGACCCGAGAACUAUAUCGGUGUUGGAUUCGUUGAAAUCACAUGGUGAUGUGAACUAGAUUAUUGACUCUAGUGCAAGUGGGAGACUGUUGGAAAUAUGCCCUAGAGCCAAUAAUAAUUAGUUACUAUUAUAUUUCUUUGUUAAUAAUAAUCGUUUAUUAUCCAUGCUAUAAUUGUAUUGAUUGGAAACACAAUACUUGUGUGGAUACAUAGACAAAACACUGUCCCUAGUAAGCCUCUAGUUGACUAGAUCGUUGAUCAAAGAUGGUCAAGGUUUCCUGGCCAUAGGCAAGUGUUGUUAGUUGAUAACGGGAUCACAUCAUUAGGAGAAUCAUGUGAUGGACUAGACCCAAACUAAUAGACGUAGCAUGUUGAUCGUGUCAUUUUGUUGCUACUGUUUUCUGCGUGUCAAGUAUUUGUUCCUAUGACCAUGAGAUCAUAUAACUCACUGACACCGGAGGAAUGCUUUGUGUGUAUCAAACGUCACAACGUAACUGAGUGACUAUAAAGAUGCUCUACAGGUAUCUCCUAAGGUGUUCGUUGAGUUAGUAUGGAUCGAGACUGGGAUUUGUCACUCCGUGUGACGGAGAGGUAUCUCGGGGCCCACUCGGUAAUACAACAUCACACACAAGCCUUGCAAGCAAUGUGACUUAGUGUAAGUUGCGGGAUCUUGUAUUACGGAACGAGUAAAGAGACUUGCCGGUAAACAAGAUUGAAAUAGGUAUACGGAUGAUGACGAUUGAAUCUCGGGCAAGUAACAUACCGAAGGACAAAGGGAAUGACAUACGGGAUUAUAUGAAUCCCUGGCACUGAGGUUCAAACGAUAAGAUCUUCAUAGAAUAUGUGGGAUCCAAUAUGGGCAUCGAGGUCCCGCUAUUGGAUAUGGACCGAGGAGUCACUCGGGUCAUGUCUACAUAGUUCUCGAACCCGCAAGGUUUGCACACUUAAGGUUCGACGUUGUUUUAUGCGUAUUUAAGUUAUAUGGUUGGUUACCUAAUGUUGUUCGGAGUCCCGGAUGAGAUCACGGACGUCACGAGGGUUUCCGGAAUGGUCCGGAAACGAAGAUUGAUAUAUAGGAUGACCUCAUUUGAUUACCGGAAGGUUUUCGGAGUUACCGGGAAUGUACCGGGAAUGACGAAUGGGUUCCGGGUGUUCACCGGGGGGCAGCCCACCCCGGGGAAGACCAUAGGCCUUGGGGGUGGUGCACCAGCCCUUGUUGGGCUCGUGGGACAGCCCAAGAAGGCCCUAUGCGCCAUAGAUAGAAAAUCAAAGAGAAAAGAAAAAAAGGAGGUGGGAAAGGAAAGAAGGACUCCACCUUCCAAUCCUAGUUGGACUAGGAUUGGAGGAGGACUCCUCCUCCCUUGGUGGCGCAGCCCUUGGGGCUCCUUGAGCCUCAAGGCAAGCCUCCCCUCCCCUCCUCCUAUAUAUAUGGAGCUAUUAGGGCUUAUUUGAGACAACUUUUGCCACGGCAGCCCGACCACAUACCUCCACGGUUUUUCCUCUAGAUCACGUUUCUGCGGAGCUCGGGCGGAGCCCUGCUGAGAUUAGAUCACCACCAACCUCCGGAGCGCCGUCACUCUUGCUGGAUCAAGAAGGCCGAGAUCAUCGUCGAGCUGUACGUGUGCUGAAUGAGGAGGUGCCGUCCGUUCGGCACUAGAUCGGAGCGGAUCAUGGGACGGAUCGCGGGACGGUUCGUGGGACGGUUCGCGGGGCGGAUCGAGGGACGUGAGGACGUUCCACUACAUCAACCGCGUUCACUAACGCUUCUUUUGUGCGAUCUACAAGGGUACGUAGAUCGGAAAUCCCCUCUCGUAGAUGGACAUCACCAUGAUAGGUCUUCGUGCGCGUAGGAAAUUUUUUGUUUCCCAUGCGAUGUUCCUCAACAGCUUUGGCAUCCUAGAAGCUUGCUGGUGCCUCGGAGCUCAAUCAUUGUGGUGUAAACCCCCGGGCAAGUGUCUGGGGUCUUCAAUUAGGUUGUAAAUAUUUUCCUGAGCAUUUGAGGUUACCUCGAAGCCAUAUUCCAUUAUGGUGAAGCUUUGUGGUGUUGUUGGGAGCCUCCAAUUAAGUUGUGGAGAUUGCCCCAACCUUGUUUGUACGAGUUCGACGACCGCCCUCAAGGGUCCCUUAGUGGAAUCACGACAUCUUGCAUUGUGGGAGGGCGUGAGGAGAUUACGGUGGCCUUAGUGGCUUCUUGGGGAGCAUUGUGCCUCCACACCGCUCCAAACGGAGAUUAGCAUCUGCAAGGGUGUGAACUUCGGGAUACAUCGUCAUCUCUGUGUGCCUCGAUUAUCUCUUACCCGAGCCUUUUACUUAUGCACUUUACUUUGUGAUAGCCAUAUUGUUUCUUGUUAUAUAUCUUGCUAUCACUUAGUUGUUUUCUUGCUUAGCAUAAGUUGUUGGUGCACAUAGGUGAGCCUAGUUGUUUUAGGUUUUGUGCUUGACAAAUUAAAAGUUAGUUUUAUUCCGCAUUUGUUCAAGCCUAAACCAUAAUUAUUUUAAAGCGCCUAUUCACCCCCCUCUAGGUGUCAUCCACGUCCUCUCAACAACCUUGCGACGAUCUGAAAGCACAUAUGCUCCCUUGGUGGUUUUUAUAAUUCAUGAAAAAUACAUUAUCUCUUGUACUAAUUGUUUUACCUAGCAUUUUAGAUUCAGUCCAAGAGAUUGUUAGCUGGAAAUGUGAGGAGAAACCCCAAGGAAGGAGAAUAAUAGGAUUGACCAAGCUUCAAGCUUCAAGAGUCUAUAUUUUGCAUUUUGUGAAAAAUCACAUUUGAGUCCAUAGUAAAGCAAAUACUAUUAAAAGGUAUGAGGUAUUUAUGAUGAUCUGGUUGCUCAAGUGCUUAAAGUUAGCUACCAAAAUCCCUCAAGUAUUCUCCCACAGAAACAUUCUGUCAAAACCCAAACAACAAAAUUCAGUGCGACCAACUAUUCCCAUUCGAACCUACCGAGUUUUCCUUAGACAGAAUCCAGAGCCAACUCUAACCUCUGAGUGACACCAAGUUCCAUCUUGGUCCCGCCAAAAAUCAGUGACUAAGUCUGUGGUAUCCAUCUCCAAAAAGUCAGAAUAUCCGAGUUUUGCAAAUUGGUGCCACCGAGUGUGUGUAACUGCCUAGGCCAGAAAAAAUCGGACUCACCGAGAUAUAUAUAUAUAUAUUGAUCUCACCGAAAUGCCAAAAGUUGCCACAUUUUGCACUAGUCGGUGCAACCGAGUUUUUAAUUCGAUUCCACCGAGUUGGGAAAUAAUGUUGUAACGGUUGGAUUUUUGGAAAUGCCUAUAUAUACCCACCCACGUCCCUCUCAUUCGCCAAGAGAGCACUCAGAACACACAAACACUUGCACCAUCCACUUUCUGAGAGAGAAUCAGAGAACCACCUACUCAUGUGUUAAGAUCGAGAUAUUCCACUCCAACCAUAUGAAUCUUGAUUCCUAGCCUCCCCAAGUUGAUUUCCACCCAAUCAAUCUCUUCUACCAAGCCAAAUCUGUGAAAGAGUGAUUGAGUGUUGUGGAGACGAUCUUUUGAAGCACAAGAGCAAGGAGUUCAUCAUCCAUACCAUAUCUAUUACCUUUUGGAGAGUGGCGUCUCCUAGAUUGGUUAGGUAUCUCUUGGGAGCCUCCGAGUUCGUGUGGAGUUGAAAAAAUAAGUUUGUAAGGAUAAGGAUAUCGCCUACUUCGUGAAGAUAUACCAUGAGUGAGGCUAGUCCUUCAUGGAUGUAUGCCAUGAUGGAAUAUACAAGAUUUCUUCUUCGUUGACCCCUUAUGGGUGGAUCCCUAUGUGGAAUCAUGCAGUCAUUACCCUCCGUGGGUUGAAGUCUCCAUCAACGUGGAUGUACGAUAGUACCACCUAUCGGAACCACGCCAAAAAUCUCUCUGUCAUCUUUGCGUUUGAUCUUCCUAUCUCUACUCCUUACUUUCAUGUGCAUGUUUUUUACUUUUUGUUGCCAUACUCGUUCACUUGCAUGUGUAGGGUGUGCUAGACUUGCUAGAAUAGCUAAAGCUUGCCAACCAAUAAAAUUGUGAAAAGUUUAGGUUUUUAAUUUGCUAAGUAGUCUAUUCACCCCCUCUAGACGUACCUUCUCGAUCCUACAAUUGGUAUUAGAGACUUGGUCUCCGUAGCUUUGGUUCAAUCGCCAUUGGAGGAAGAUGGAUGUGCCUAGUUUGGGAAUUCUUUGUUGCGGAGUGCCUAUUCUCACUGAGAAGUACUAUAGUGAAUGGAAAGAAAAAAUGCUUGAUCUAUUUGAUGAAUUCCAUUUGAGAAAUUAUGUUGAAACUCCCUAUAUGCCUCCCACUGAUCCCUUACAUCCUUCACAUGAGGAAUAAAUUGAUAUGCUUAGUAAUCUUAGAACUAACAAUCUCAACAUCAGAGGAUAGCCAAGAAUUGUGUUUGAUCAAAUGAUAAACUUUGAGUGUGCGUAUACUUUGUGGAAAGAUUUAGAUAAUAUAUAUCCAAAUUACUCUUUGAAAAACCUUGAUGUCAUACUCCAUAAAACUAUUGCCUUUCAAAAAAUGAAUCCUAGCGAUCCCAACUUUGAUAAAUACUUGUUUGAGCUUCAUAGUAUCAUGUGUGGUAAAGGAGAUGUCAUAACCAUCAAUAAUAUCAUUGUUGAAGCCAUUCACAUUCAUAAACUUGAACAUUGUCAUAGUCACAAUUCUAAAGGAUCUCUUGAUUUUUGUGACGAGGAUAUUCCACUUGACAAUGGUGAUGUGGAACAUGGAUACUACGAUGAAGAUGAGAGGCUUGACAUUGAAUGUGAGAAGACUAUGAAGAGUCUAAGCCUCGUGGCAAACUUCAAAUACUACAUGUCCGGAGGAAAAGAGUGGAUUCUCGAUAGUGGAUGCACCGAUCACAUGACCGAAGAUAGGGACAUGUUUCACGAGAUCGCACCAAACCGUGGACCACAGAGAUAUGUGACUUUUGGGGACAACUCCAAGGGUAAGGUACUUGGUCUUGGUAAGGUGGCCAUAUCUCAUUCUCUUCUAUGUGAUGCAUAUAGCCACGGAACAUAUGACUUGUCAUCUCCUCUCUACUAUGUGUGUGCACUCAUGCAUUCCAAAGCAACUAUCCCUUAAAGGGGAUUGCACAUAUUUAGGGGGAGCUUGUACUAGCCAUAUGUCUCUUAAAGCUAUCAUAUAUCACCGCCUAUUUUAGAUUGAAGCUUUAAUUGUAUGUUGUCAUCAAUUACCAAAAAGGGAGAGAUUGAAAGCACAUAUGCUCCCUUGGUAGUUUUGUUAAUUCAUGACAACAUGCAUUAUCUCUUGUACUAGUGGUUCUACCUAGUAUUUCAGAUCCAUUCCAAGAUAUUGUUGGCUAGGAAUGCGAGGAUAAACCAAAAGGAAGGAGAAGAAUAUGAUUGCCCAAGCUUCAAGACUCUACAUUUUGCAUUUUGUGAGAAAUCACAUUUCAGUCUAUAGCAAAGUCAAUACUAUUAAAGGGGGAUGAGUUAUCUAUGAUGAUCUGAUUGCUCAAGUGCUUAAAGUUAGCCACCAAACUCCAUCAAUUAUUCUCCCACAAAAACAUUUUGUCAAAACCCAAACAACAAAAUUUGGUGCCACUAACUAUUUCCAUUCAGCCCUACCAAGUUUUCCUUAGACAGAAUCCAGAGCCAACCCUAAUCUCUCGGUGAACAAGCCAACACUUGUCCCAUCCAUUUUUUUAGAGAGAACCACAUACUCAUGUGUUGAGAUCAAGACAUUCCACUCCGACCACAUGAAUCUCGAUUUUUAGCCUCCCCAAGUUGCUUUUCACCAAAUCAAUCUCUUCUACCAAGCCAAAUAUGUGAGAGGGUGAUCGAGUGUUGAGAAGACUAUAUUUUGAAGCACAAGAGCAAGGCGUUCAUCAUCCAUACCACAUCUAUUACCUUUUGGAGAAUGAUGUAUCCUAGAUUGGUUAGGGAUCACUUGGGAGCCUCCGACUUCGUGUAGAGUUGAACCAAGAAGUUUGUAAGGGCAAGGAGAUCGACUACUUUGUGAAUAUCUACCCCGAGUGAGGCUAGUCCUUCGUGGACGUAAGCCAUGAUGGUAUAGACAAGGUUGCAUCUUCGUGGACCCCUUGUGGUUGGAGCCCUUCAUGGACUCCCGCAGUCGUUACCCUUCGUGGAUAGAAGUCUCCUUCAACGUGGACGUACGAUAGCACCACCUAUCGGAACCACGCCAAAAAUCUCUGUGUCAUCUUUGCACUUGAUCUUCCUAUCUCUAUUCCUUACUAUCACGUGCAUGUCUUUAGUUUCUGUUGUCAUACUCGUUGGCUUGCAUGUGUAGGGUGCGCUAGACUUGUUCGAAUAGCUAAAACAUGCCAACCAAUAAAAUUAGGAAAAUCUAAGGUUUUUAAUUUGCCAAGUAAUCUAUUCACCUCCCCCUCUAGACGUCCCUUCUCGAUCGUACACGAUCCCAAAGGACCUCAUGGAUUUUGUUGUUGUGGUGUACCUUGCAUAGAUCCACGGUGGCAAAGCAAGGAAAAGGUCAUGCUUUUGUGUUAUAUUAUUCUUGGGGAGGAUGACGAAGGGGUGGCAGAAUACGGUGUUCUUGGAUUGGAAUAAGCCCUUCCUGCUCCGCCCUUGUUUGACGGUGCUUGCUACGAUACCAAUAAUGAAUAAAGGAUGUAGGUUUUAGCAUGUUGUUCCUUCAUCUGAUCUGGUGGAUCAUUCGGAAGCUAAUGGUCACCCAAUGCUUUGGUUCCAUGCGAUGGAGGUGGUGUGCACGAAAAUGAGUAUUUUCCUCGAUGAUGUCUAUAGGUAAUCUUAGAAGUGGGCUAGAGAAGCAUGUAGCGUGUCCCCUGCCGUGUGUUUUGCACAAUGAAAUUGAUCUGGUCUUUGGAGACAGGUGACUAUUGCGGCUCGCAAAACCAAUGGCGAUUGUGUGAUUUUAGUACUGGAAAGAUGGUUGUUUUUGUUAUCCUUCUCAUGAUGGCAUGUGGCAUCAUUGGUAAGCACAAAGGUUGCCAUGGACCUUUAUUUAUCUGUCUCUGAAAAUACUCCAUGACUUCAAGAAAAAAAGAUAGACCAAGGUCCCUUUCAUAGUUCACAACCGAUUUUUAUUUCUGCAUCUUUUAUUUCUAAAAGCAUCUACAACAGCCGCGCUAAAACAGUACCGCGUCGCAAAAUUUGUCUUCUUAGCGCGCGCACAAUAGCAAAAGGUGCUCCAGCGGGCGCGUGAUAAACGCGCGCGCGGCAUAUAGAGUACAGCGCACUGUCCGAAUCGCCAUCGCGCGCUGCUUAUUUGGUGUGCCUGCUUCCGCGCGCUGCACACUCGAGCGAUCGUGCCACACUAUCUACACUGCGCGCCGCUGCCGGCUAACUAANNNNNNNNNGGACGGCUCCGGCUCCUCCAAGCCGUCGAGGAAGAGACUUGCAGGGUGUGCGAUGGCCGCGACGGCUACCGAAGGGCCGGCGAGGUCACUUGUUGAGACGGCGGCCGACGCGCAAAAGGUGUUCGAGGAAAUGCACCAAUGGUAAAAAAAUCGCCAACUUUUUGUUGUUGUUAUUUUCUGAAUGCAUACAUAUAGAUAGCUCAUUUGCUUCGUUGUAUAUCCUUUAUAGUGUCAACGAUGAGGCAUAUAUGUCAACUAUGGGUGUUCGUCCAACAAUUCUCAUUGGUCUGAAACAAAUGUCAUGCAUUUCGAUGACCAUGAGUUUGAGGUGGACGAGGAUGGUGAGGGCAUUGUCGACGCACCGAAAGGAAGAGGGGCAACUACACCAUGGGAGGCAUGGGAGCACCUUCGGGCGCCAUGGGCGGCAUGUCUUCCGGUGUGCCAACACCUUCGCAUGAUGUCGUGCGCGACCAUGAAGAGGAGGAUAAAGAAUCCGCUUCGGAUGAUGAAUCGGAGGAAGAGGAAAACGAAGAGAAAGAGGAAGAUGAAGGGACGAGGCUUGAUUCUUGAUGGGUCAUUCGUUAGUGUGAACUUUAUGUGGACAUGAAUUUGAACUUGUGGGCAUGAACUUGGUUGGAUGAUUUUGUGGACAUGAACUUGGUUGGAUGAUCUUGUGGGCAUGAACUUUAUGUCAUCAUGAAUUUGUUUGUGUCUUUGUUUUGAUGUUUGAAAUUCAUCUUAUGUUCAAUAUGUGUCCAAAAUGCAACAUAUGGCAAGCGUCGGCUGCUCGCGCGAGCUGCAUUUUAGCGCACCUGCUGAAGCUACGCGCGGGCGCUCACUACAAGAAAUAUGCUCAUACAUGACGUUCUUUCAGAUGUCGUUGAUGAAUUCGUCAUAAAUCUAUGACGAUUUCAUCCGAGAUUGUCGUAAGCCGUUUGAGGGGAUCAAAUCUACAUAUAAAUUACGACGAUGUGAGUCAAAAACGUCAUAACCGCAUAAGUUGAGAUCGUCAUAACUUUUACGAUGAUUAUAAAAAUGUCGUAACAUGUUCUAACUAUGUUGACAUGUCACUCGUGGGUCCAUUCUAUCCCACCUCAUCCUAGUUUGUGAAGCAACCUCAUCCUAGCUUGAUUUUUGCAAAUAUUUUCGAGUAUCUAUGAAGAAGUAGAUACUUCUGUACCUAAAAAAUAUUUUUGGAAAAAAGAAAUAGCAAACUAUAAUGCAGCUACAGUUCAAAUUUGACCCGUUUCCAAGUGAAUUAAGGAAAACUUGUCUUUUUCACGAGAGGUGGAUAAUUUUUUUUUGACACCCAACCAUUUGGUCAAUUGUACAUUAAAUAUGCCUAGUAUUUUAGAAAAAUGAUUUGGUCCAACUUGGCAUUAAAUAUAUGGUAGGUCCUUCACAAAAAAACUCAUUUUAAGCAUCCGAAAAAUGGAAAAUGAGGUUAAUAUCUUAAAUGUUUACCGUGAUUAAGAGGAUAAAAACUACUCCCUCCGUAAAAUAAUAUAAGAGCAUUUAGAUCACUAUUCUAGUGAUGCAAACACUUUUAAAAUAGUUUAUAGAGGGGGUAUAAAAGAAACAAAAAACAAAAUUAUACUCCCUCCGUUCCUAAAUAUAAGUCUUUUAAGAGAUUUCGCUAGGAGUCUACAUACAAAUCAAAAUGAGUGAAUCUACACUAUAUAUAUAUCCUGUCUCUUAUACACAUCUGACGCUGCCGACGAUAGCAUGAGGUGGAGAUAUAGGUGGUUGNNNNNNNNNNNNNNNNNNNNNNNNNNNNNNNNNNNNNNNNNNNNNNNNNNNNNNNNNNNNNNNNNNNNNNNNNNNNNNNNNNNNNNNNNNNNNNNNNNNNNNNNNNNNNNNNNNNNNNNNNNNNNNNNNNNNNNNNNNNNNNNNNNNNNNNNNNNNNNNNNNNNNNNNNNNNNNNNNNNNNNNNNNNNNNNNNNNNNNNNNNNNNNNNNNNNNNNNNNNNNNNNNNNNNNNNNNNNNNNNNNNNNNNNNNNNNNNNNNNNNNNNNNNNNNNNNNNNNNNNNNNNNNNNNNNNNNNNNNNNNNNNNNNNNNNNNNNNNNNNNNNNNNNNNNNNNNNNNNNNNNNNNNNNNNNNNNNNNNNNNNNNNNNNNNNNNNNNNNNNNNNNNNNNNNNNNNNNNNNNNNNNNNNNNNNNNNNNNNNNNNNNNNNNNNNNNNNNNNNNNNNNNNNNNNNNNNNNNNNNNNNNNNNNNNNNNNNNNNNNNNNNNNNNNNNNNNNNNNNNNNNNNNNNNNNNNNNNNNNNNNNNNNNNNNNNNNNNNNNNNNNNNNNNNNNNNNNNNNNNNNNNNNNNNNNNNNNNNNNNNNNNNNNNNNNNNNNNNNNNNNNNNNNNNNNNNNNNNNNNNNNNNNNNNNNNNNNNNNNNNNNNGCUCUACUCGCACGUCGCCGUGGCGCUCGACCGUUCGCCGGGGGCCUGCCACGCGUGCGCCUGCGACUACGACGCGCUCCCGCUGCCCCAGCUCCCCGAAGGUACCCCUCUUGCUGUCGGUGCCCCUGGCCCGACCUACUCGCUCAGAUCUCCCUGCAAGCCCACUGCAAUUCCUUUAUGUCUGUGAUUUCGUUCAAUGUGCUUGUAGCCGCUGGCUAUCGCGUUCUGCUGUGGACGAGACACGAUAGGGUUGGGAAUAGGCUACGAACUUGGCAUGAUAUAUUAAAUUAGGAGAUCUGUGGAUUUUGAUGGGGGCGUUCUAACCUGUGAAUUCAAAAUCGUAACAUGCGUGCAUAGAUUAUCUUACUCCGUUUGUUCAAUGUGUAUGCAUCAGAUUUAUAUAUGCCUGGCCUUGCCAUGGCUGAUUGAUUAUAACCUUAGGCAUGCUUCAAGUUUGGGGUGGGUGGGACAAAGGUGUUUUUCAGUUAUUCAGAAGUCAGAGCAUUGGUUCAGGUUGUAGCCGAGUAAUUAUGUUUCCAGUUAUUCGAAAGUCAGAACAUUGGUUCAGGUUGUAGCCGAGCAAUCAUAUAUGGUCACUGGACAAGAUAUGUUGAAUGUAUAACACGCCAUGGUAAUGAACAACGAUGACAAAGCUGUCAUCAGUGCUUCAAGAAACAUGAACGCACUCUCGUCAACACACUAAAUUCAGCCUAAUAUCCGGUCUAUGCAGGAGACAAAGAAGAUGAGAGGGAGAGAGAAGGAAUGUAAGGAGGGAAGAAGAGAGUGGAAAGAGGAGUGGGAGUCAACGACCGAGCGUCGGUCUGCGUUGGUGUGUCGGGCACACUUGGAUCACUCACUUUCUUCGUCCCCUCCUCACCCCUUGCAGUCGCUCUCCCGUGUCAUGCCUGCUGCCACUGCCUCGACGCUCUCUCAACCUUUCAUUACCAUGGCGUGUUAUACAUUACCUUUACUGUCACGCAUGGAAACCUUUAAAAAAUAUCAUUACCAGUUUGUGGAUUUUCGUUCCUUUUUAACUGUCAAGCUCCUAAUCGUUGUUGCUAUGUAGUGGCCGUAGAUGAGAACAACUUCUUUAUUCAAAUCUCCUAUUGCACACUGAAUUAGUCCAAUGUAUGCAUUUACACCUCUUUUCAACUAUGUGAUACAACAGAAGUCGAUCCUUCAUGAAUGAAUUCUCUGUCUUUGGUGCAUGAUUUCAGUUAUCUUUCUUCAGACAUGGCUUGUUUACAUGACUGACUAAGGUUUUGUUGGUUAUCUUCAGAUAUGGUAUAGCAAUGUUCCUCAUACCAAGUCGGUGCAGUACAAGGGGCAGCAGAACUGGGUUAAUGUCUCUGGGGAGCAUCUGGUCUUUCCGGGAGGCGGAACUCAGAUCAAGCAUGGUGCUCUCGGUGUGACGAUGAACGCUCUUGGUGAGCAUCUGGUCUUUCCGGGGGACGGGGUGACGAUGGCGGCUCUCGGUGUGGACCUCAACGCCGAUGAAUGCCACUUCCUCGUCGGCCUCCACGUCGCCCAUCUCCGGCAAACCCGCCAUCUACGACCGUGAGAAUCCCUCCUGACCUCCUUUCUAUUGUGUAUUUUUUCAUCUCCGCCUAGAUCUGAUCUGUACAAGCUACUGCUGCUGCUGCUGCAGGUAGUCAAGGACGCCCUCAUCUUCAUGGCGGCGGCUGCUACUGCUACAGGUGGACAAGGACGCCCUCAUCCUCAUGGUUGUUGCUGCUGCAGGUGGACAAGAAGACCUGAAGAAUUUGGUGAGCUCCACCACAUGUAACCAUCUGAUUUGAUCAUUUGGUUAGCGUAAUUUAUAAGUAUUUUUUGUUCCAAGGACUUCUAGUGCUCGAGCUGUCUACUAAUGAAUCGUUGGACAGGGAUAGUCAAUAACUCUGAGUUGUCUUUAAGGAGGGGGUAGGCUGAAUAGUCAAUAGUACUGAAUUCUUAUAGGCAACUAUUUCUGAAUCUCUUUUUUAGGCAGAAUAGACAACCGACAACUAUCUCUUGAAUUUCUUAGACACGACCGGCAAUAACACUGCAAUGUAAUUGCAGGCAAUUUAUUUCUGCAUUUCUAUAGAACCUGGGAACUAUGGUAUUGAUCUCUCUAACAAGAUGGGAAUCUCACCCUGACACUUGGCCAUUAAUUACUUCGGGUUCCUGGAUUAUGAACUUUUGCGGGAGCACAAUAUGCUCCAACCAAGAUGCCCUUGAUCAUUACUACCAGCACUGCAUCGACACCCGUCUGCCCAUCGAGAUCAUGGUCAGCCCUUGUUCCAGAACCCACGCAGAUGCCCUUGAUUAUCACACGCAGCAAUUGUUCAUCAGUUACUUGUCGUACCAAAUUUAGGCCUAUUUUUAUAACUGACUAGCUGUUUGUUGUGCCACUAGAUGGGCGAGCUGAAGAAGCUGGUGGAGGACGGCAAGAUAAAGUACGUCGGCCUGCGGAGGCCUCUGCUUCCACCAUUAGAAGAGCCCACGCCGUCCAUCCCAUCACCGUCGUGCAACUCGAGUGGUCGCUCUGGACCAGAGACUCUGAAGACGAGAUCAUCCCUACCUGCAGGUCCAAACCUUCUCAUUUCAAUUCAGACAUAUACUGGAUACUGCAUCGUCAUAUUGUUCUCUUCUUAGUUCUUAAUUACCCUGCAAUUGCCAACACCGAUAGAUAAAAACCUUGACCCAUGGAAACUCCAUCGGUAGAUAAAAAAGGAACCACCAUUAGGCGUGAAAAUAGUUGGUACAGGAUUAAAGAGAAAGUUACAUAAUAGAGAUGGUCCCUUGUGUUAAUGUAAAAACGCAAUUGUCACGAUCACCGUUAGCAAAAGAAAAACAAAGAAAACCUUGACCCACAAAGAAAACCUUGACCCAUGGAAACUCCACCGGUAGAUAAAAAAGGAACUACCAUCAGGCGUGAAAAUAGUUGGUACUAUAGAUGCCCAUCUAUCAGCAGUGUUCAUGACUUGAUCAUGCACUGUACGCUACUAGGAGAACCACCACGAGUGGUCACAUCAGUCCGACGGCAACAUGUAAUCCCGACGGUAGCGUUUGCACCUGUCACACCCUAAUCACGUUACUCUGCAUAAUUUGAAUGGCUCCACCUUCAAAGUUCUACCCAGACAUCAGUGCAACGUCUUCAUUUGAUAAAUUCAUCCCAUGAUUGGGUGGCUGCUGCAAUUGGCGUCACUGCUAAGCAAAAGAUUUACGCCAACUAGCGGUCAAGCGAUUCACCCCCUCGACACCAUUCAGUUGUGUCGCUGGUGACGCCUACUCCCAUCGAUUGGAAAGUAGUUAUGUAUACAUAAAUUAAAUGCUCCAGAUAAUUUUUAGUCUUAUAAUUUGAUUAUAUAUCCUCUACAAAUUGUUCAUGGUAAUUAGGUCCAUAACUUUAAGAUGGAGUUCGUUCCUUUUUUGCGGGAAAAUUUAAUUAGUUCGUCCCUUAAUUUUAUAGCUUCAACAGAAAAUAGUGCCAUUGAUGUUACGUCCAUAUAUAUAUGUGUGUGGUAUAGCUCAUGUUUAAUGUGUUACUUCAUGGUAUACCGGUAUAGAUAAUGUUGAAUAUGUUACUUCAUAGUGUCCCGAUAGAGGAAAAUACACAAAUAUUUUGUGUUAUUUUAUAUAGAUGCUGAAGUGUAUGAUCCAGUUUCCAAUAUGUGUAUAUUUAGUAACUUGAUGAGUUAUAUUAUAUAACUAGGAACCUCCUAGGAUAUUUAAGUGUGUAUUUUCAGUUAUGCUCUCGCAUGGGCGAUGCACAGCUCCUAGUCAGGUUUGAUUCAACGAGAACAACACCUACUGAUUAUAUGUUUGCACGUGCGCCAUGCCGAAUUCCUUCUUUUUUAGUAAAACGAACAUAUUACUUCUAUAUGUUGUAAUGCUUCCCGAACUUCUUUGCUCCCAGAAAAGAAUAUGUGGGCGUUAUUUUCCCAUCUAUAUACCGGUCUUGCUGUUUCUAAAAAUAGACAUUGAGGAUCUAUUCACAUGUUUUUUCUACACCCUGCUGGGAUGCUUAAUAGAAGUUUCUAUAUAUGAAAAAAAGCAACAGAUGCCAAGCACAAUUUACCGACUAUCUACAGGAAAAUAUGUUUCUUUCUACAUCCAUGGCAAAUCUAUCUACGGGGAAAAUAUAUGUAUUCUUUGUUAUUCAAAUGGAAUAAUCUAUAUAAUUGUUAUUAUUUAUACAGAACUGUUUAUUCAGUUAAAUGUGCUUUUUGUUAGAGUGAAAACUGCUGAGAGCCAAGUUGUAUGGGUAAACCAGUACAAUAGUUAUGUAGUUGUAGUUGGCCAAUAUAAGCUAAUUGGGUUAUUCUAGGCUAACAUUGACCAGUUAUUUAAUAUUCAAAUUUUCUUUCAAGAUGCUACUUCCUACAUACUGGUGUGCCUAAUCUCACUCCACACGAAAAAGAAGUUUGCAAUUAUACAAUAACUUCUAACUCUCCUUUCAACUGAUUAUUUUUUAUUUGAAAUAUAUAUUUUUUAGCAUGAGCAUUAAGGACACAACACAUCACUACUAUUUGGAUAAAUUAGGUUGUUCCUCAUAUGUUGUGCGAUCUACUUGAUUUGCAGCUAAACUGAUCACUCUGUGAAAGUAAUGUACUCAUGUUGUUCGAUCUAUUUGAUUUUGCAGCUGAGCUUUUUGUGAAUGGAGAGAUUGUUCAAGGUCUCCGGAGAGGCAGAGAAGGGUGGAGCCUGUGCCUUAGAGAGCACUUGAUAACAGAUUUUGUGAUAGCACUUGGUUUGAUAGCGGAUUUUGUGAUAGCACUUGGUUUGGUAGCAGAUUUUGUACACUUGGCUAUGUAAUUUUGUACCUGAUUGUACUACAGUUUUGAUAUCUGGUUGUGCUACAGGUUUUGGCUAUAUUAUCAAAUCUUGAAAUGUGCUUCAAAUUUUGUGGUGUGGGUUGUUAUUUAGAGAUGCUUUAGAUUUAUGUGUAUGGGCUUCAAUGUUGUAUGAUCUGUUAUUUAUAGAUCCAUUAACAGUAUAAAAGAAAAAAGUUGCCGAAUUCAAAAAUGAAAAAGGGCCAAAACUGAAACUGGACCAAAUGUAUUUGAGAACUAAAAGGCCAGGGCCCAAAUUAUAAUGAUACAAAAAAUUCAAAAAAAACAAAACUAGAAGUUGUUGUAAAUAGGCUAAAGCCCAAAAAGAAGCCCAAUAAGAAAAAGCCCAAAAAAAUUAGCCCAUGUGGUCAAUUGAAAUGGGUUGGGCUAAUUUCAACCAUGAUGUUUUAUUUUCGUCGUAAUUUUGCCAUGUAGGACUGGGUUUGAUUGCCAACGACGAUUUAUGAUCGUCGUAAAGGUUACGACAAUCCAGGAAUCGUCGUAAAAGUUACGACGAUUUCGAUCAAAACAUCGUUGCUGUUCAUUUCUGACGCUCCGUUUUUGACGCUUGGUUUUUCGUCAGAUCGUCGUAAAUUAAAAACUGUGACGAUGCAGCCACGAAAAAACAGCGUCGUGUAUUAGCAUAUUCCUUGUAGUGGUUGCAUUUUAGCGCGCCUGUUGGAGCAAUCGCUGGCCGCCGCGCCAAAACAGGCAAACGGCGCGCUGCAAACUGUUUUUUAGUGCGCCACGGGUUGGGCGGCUGUUGCAGAUGCUCUAAGGUUCCUGAAAAUCAUAAUGGUGUGAGUUGAUUUUCAUGGAGAAGGAAGAGAGGCGAGGUUGAUCGAGGCGAGCUGGGAACGAGACGAUGUCGGGGAUGACGCGGCAGCUGGAGGCGAGGUGAGGACUUGACAGGUGGGGAUGCCUUUAGUUUUUUAUUCCCACUUGCAUUGGACAAUGACCUUGCCGGAGGCGGGGACAUCGCCAAAUGGAGGUGAGUCGCUCGAGGAGGAAGAAGAGGAGAGACCAGAGGAGGAAAGGUGUCCAACCAUUGGAUUUCAAUCGAACAUGACUGGACAAAAUCGACUUGCACCAUUAUUUUUCAUUUGAGGAAUUAUUUGCAUAUGGUCGUGCCUUCUAUUUUUUAUUUGAAGAAUUAUUAUUAUUCAUGAACAGUAAAAUNNNNNNNNNNNNNNNNNNNNNNNNNNNNNNNNNNNAAACUGAAACUUUGCAACAUAUAAGAUGGUCGAAUUUUGUAGGCUUUAACGAGUUUUUAUGUCAAAAUAUCAUGUAGAGAAAGGUGUAUAAACAAGUUUUAGAUUUGAGUGCUAAAAGUGCUCAAAGUUUAAAGUAUUAAAAUGUUUUUCCUGUGUAGAGCUCCUUAAUUAUUCUUUUGGCAUGAAAAGUUGCAAGCACCUAAGUUUGAUCAUUUUUAAUCUUGCAAAAUUUCAGACUUUUUUUUAAUGCUACUGUUUAUAGAGGGUGUUUAGUCACCCGGAUGCUGGAAAUCCACUCUCAUUCUACGCUUCAUUAAGGCAGAAGGGAAGGAUAAAAAAUCCGAGACGAUAGAACUGCAACUGUCGGCAUGCAUGGCGAAUUAGCUGCUAGCUCUUGUUUUUCAUAAGGCAACGACCAACUUCUUCUUACACCUAAGUACACCCCAAGGUCUCACGAACACAACAAACAGGCAAAGCACGUACGUACGUACAAUUAAUGGCCAAAAAGCAUUCGCACGUGCCGGUGCCGAUCUAGUCGUCGUCCUCGCCGCUGAUGAACUUGCCGGUGCCGGGGUUGAUGGCGGCGAUGAAGAAGAAGACGACGUUGAAGAGCACGAGCGGCUCGAUCUCGCUGAUGGGCACCCCGGUCUCGAUGUUGAGCUGCGCCAGCGCGCCCUUGCCCGUGAUGAUCUCCCCGAUGAUGGAGAAGGCGAUCCCCAGCUGCGCCAGCCGCCCCACGAACAGCUCGUUCGACUUGGUGAACCCGAACAGCGGACCUGCAUGCAUCAUACACAUAGUCGCACAAAUCAUCAAUCAGCCAUGCAUGUCACAGAGCCGCAAAGAUGCCAUGGAAGUCGGUCUAACUGCUACGUACCUCCCUCGCUGAGGCCGAGGGCUGAGCGGAAGCCUUUGCCGGGGGCGAUGACGGCCUUGUCGAGGCCGGUGGGCUGCUCGUCGACGAACCUGCCGCGGUCUCCGAGCGCGCCGAUGGCGCCGAGGAGGGUAAAGAGGAUGACCCCCCUCCGCCUCGUAGAUCGGGAUGCCGGUCUCAAGGUUCAGCUGGGACAGGAUGCCCUUGCCGGUGAUGGCCUCUCCCAAGAUCGACGCCUGCAGACAUCAACAUUUAAAACAGUUAUCAUCAGGCUAAUCAAAAGGACGGCGCUCAGAAGUUCAUCUUAGUUCUUGACCAUUUCCUUUGUAAGAAAAGUAUGCUUUUGCUUCACUAGUAGUGCAAUGUACACUGCCGUCUACUCCCUCCGCACCUAAUUAUAUGUCUUUUAAGAUAUUUCACUAGAUGUCUACAUACGAAGCAAAAUGAAUGAAUCUACACUCUAAAGUAUGUCUAUAUACAUCCGUAUGUAGUCCAUUAGUUGAACCUAGAAAAAGAC